UCGCGUCUUGUGCGUAUUCUUUGGCUCUGUCUUUCGCUUCUCGCGCUUGAUCAUCUGUCUUACCCUUUGGCUCUGCAGAAUCAUAUGUCCAAUUGCGUCUUGCGUCUCUCGUUCCAUCUGCCGCAUUUCUCCACUGCAAAUGUAUAAACGUAAAAUUUGUCUUUCAACCUAAGUUAACUACCCCAUGAUGCACAAAUUCGAGUUUUAAGAAAAUGUCUAUACAACUCAAUUAUAUGUUAUAAGAUUUUGUUUAACACCGUGAAAGUAUCAAAUUAUGUAUCAAUACUCACAAAUCAAGCGAGCUAAUAGUACCUAAUAGAUACACAUAGAACAAAAAUAAUAUAAACUAUAUCACAUUAACGUAAAAUUACACCUUGGUUAUAUAUGAAAGUAAAAUUUCUAACAUAAAUAGCAGAGUGCGAUUGUGAUGGACUUACCUCUGAGGAGUUGGGAGAGGAAGCGAAGGUGACCCUAGAGGGUUUGAGAGAGAGGUAGGGGGCGUGAGGGAGAGACUUUGAGAAGCGAAAGAGGGUACUUCUUGUUAUGAACAUGGCUGCCAUAUCUUUUUUCCUUUGUUUUUCUAAGAAAGUUUUGUUACUUGCUUCGGUUUAAUUUCCACUAGAAUUUGAUCCGCUUAAAAAUGGAAUGGUUUGACACCUUUUUGGGAAACCUGCAUGUUGGAAAGAAAAGGUGGCGAAGAAGAGGGUUGCCAUGUGUGUUCUUUCCUGCCACGGUUCUUGGAAACUUGCCACGUUUUUAGUUGCUGGUUUGAAAAGUGACGAGAAGAAAGUAAGUAGUUCAGUGAGUAACUCCAAUGAGCCAAUCUUUUGUUGACCAAAGUAGCACCACCGUUUACAAUCGGAAUCAAACCUAUUGGCCGACUUCAUAUGUCUACAUUAAUUUAGGAUCACUCAAAGCCACUAUAUUGAUCUUGACAAUAACAAUUCUAGGGUCACAACAAAGACGGAUAGGAAUUCUCUCACUCAUGCUUCAUCCUAUCAUCUUAUCCAGUAGAAUCACAACCUGUAAAUUUUUUUGAGAUUUGGCUAAUUGUUUAGGUUGACGAGUUCAGUCUAUAAGUAAAAAAAAAAAAUCUAAAUUUAAAUUAUAAGUAAUCUUUGUACGUAGAUGGACCCAAUUUUAGUUAAAUAUAAUUUAGUUUGUUUGAUUCUUGAAUUAAGUAAGGAUAAACAUACAUACAAUAUGUAAAUUCUGUUUAUUGGAUACAUUAAUAUGCGGGUAUGAAUUGUGAUAUUGAUGACUUAUGAUUCAAUUUAAUCAAUUCAGAAAGCUAAAUCAAAAUGUUACGUAGUUAGGAACUGCUUCAGCACUAAUUCAGUAUCAAAUGUCUACCCAAAAAAAAUCUUUUAGUUAAAUAAUUUCAUUUGGGAGAACUACUUCAGCAAUCAAUUCCAUAAAUAUUUCGCAAAUACUGAUUAGUAUUUUGGUUAACACCAAGGAGAAAAUCAUUAUUCUUUAAAUCGAACUGAUAUGAUUAAAUCUCGAACAGAAGUUUUGUAAAAUCGCUCCUUUGUUUGGGUACUAAGGAAUAUAAAUCAGUUAUCACUAUUCUGCUCCCUGAAAUCAUAUGCUUAACGCUGACUUCCACGAACGCUGAUUAAUGCUUGCUUCCACGAACGCUGAUUAAUGCUUGCUUCCACGAACGCUAAUGUCAAAUAUUUACAAUGCCAAAGUUUAUCAAUCAGCUUCAACUUGGGCUUACAAAAAGUGUGGGGCGUGAUUAUUCAAUUCUCGACACUGGAAUAAAAUUGUUAUAUAAAGUAACUGUUUAUUUCAAUUUCAUGAGAACUACCGUACAAUCAAAGAGUUAAGAGCUAAAUUUAUCAAAAAAAAAAAAAAAAUACCAAUUCGAUACAAAGUUCACAGUGAGACCUUCCAUCAAUCUAAAUCUAACGAGUUCACUUGAAUUCACUCUUUGAUAGAAAGAUAACCUUUAUCUACAUAAUUUUAACAGCUUGCCUACGCAAUCUUCUUUACGAGUUGACAUAAUUAAAACGGUUUUUCUAGACUACCUUUCACAGUAAUAUAGCAGAAUCUCCACCACAUCCUCCAAAAAAUCACAAGAUCCAUUAGACUUGCAAUUGUCACUAAACUAACAUGCUCGACUUAAUAAAGUGCUUGCAUGCCAAGAUCAAAAAAAGAAAACUAAUAUUUGCACAAUAGAGUCUAUUGUUUUGAGAGAAACAUUCACACCCUAAAGUCCUUUUGCAGCUUCUUAUCAAGGCAAUAAACCAUAAUGACAAACAUUUGGUUGGGAGGGUAAAAAUGACAAUAUAAAUAUCAACUACAAAAGGUUACUGAUUCCACCGGAACAAAAAAAUCAACUCCAUUAAACUGUCGAACAAAGCAUAAAAGAAAUAUUAAAAGAAAAGUAUUUGAAUAGCAAAAUAGCAACAUAUCAAAAAGCUAGAGCCGAAGGUUAAACUUCAUCUGUCUCAAAGAAGCUUAUGCUGUGGCAGCUUGUUUAGUAGCACUGGAAAGUCUUGAUCUUCUCUUAGCCAAGCUCUCACUCCGACGUUCUCUCUGCUCCUUCAAUCUGGAGGCGAGAAGUUUCUGGUACUCCGCUGCCUCUGAUUUUGCUUUGGCAAUUCUCUUUUUCUUAUCUGCGAUCCUUGCUCUCUUUCUUUGGAGGGUCAGGGGAGUGACCAGGCGUUGGAUUUUAGGAGCCUUGCUCACCUUUUUCCCUGUAACCAAAAUAUGUCAACCAAUUAUAACCACAACUUCUAUAUCUUUUCAAAAAAUAAUCUCCUAUAUUAAUCGGCCCUCUGCCAAAAUUAAUCUACCAAAACAUGCAAAAGCCAGAGGUUUAAAAAGAAUGAGAAGUGACUACUCAUAGCAGUUAAUCUCUUAAGUUCACGUUAAUUUUUUGAGAUUUUUCAAAAAGAAUGAUGUCAAGAAAACAAUUCUAUACACAGCUGCAUGAAUAUAUUAUUUAGAUAAAUUCUUGCAGCAAACAAAAAUACAAACAACAUUCAAUUACAAAUUGAAUAGUAAUACAGCCAGAAUAGCUCUGUUAAUGUAGUAACCAUCAAGCUAACAAAUUUGAUAAAUUCAAACUUAGAUGCACAAAAAAGGCAGCAAUAAAGAUUACAGGUUAUAUACGGGUUAAGCUUGACAUUUAUUCGCAAGAACAACAUAAAGCUACGGAGAACAGUUGCAGAGAGAAUACACAUUACCAGCUUUAGUUGUAAAAGUUCUCCUAUAUGUGUUGACAUACUUCCUCACAUCAUCAUCCUUAGACAGGUUGAACAGCUUGCGAAUUUUGGAAGCUCUCUUUGGGCCCCUCAUCCUUGGCUUUUCAACGUCGGUCAGGCCUGGUAAAUCACUUUCACCCUUCUUUACAAUUACCAAAUUCAGAACAGAGAGGUCUGGGCUGACAAUGCACCCACGAACAGACUUCCUCCUUCGCUCUCCAUUGCGCCUUCCAUAUCCACGGAAACAAGGAGUUCCUGCUCGUGUAAGCAAUGAAAUGAAAUUUGACAUCAGACCACAAAUGAAUGUUGCAAAUAUAUCAGUAUAUCCGAAACAAGUAUAUAGGAUCUUACUUGAAACAUAAUAAAACAACACGGGUUAUUAAACAAAAAUGUAUGAUGUCACACACAAAGGAGUCACUCACAAAAUUUCAAGACCAUAUCCAUAUCCAAAUAUAGAACAUGAGAUGAAAGAAUGCUUCGGACUAAUAGUUCCGACAUAUUUAUAAUAAAACAAAACAGAAGAAUUUUUAAAUGGUAAGACCUCUGUGCAGCAGGAGACGAACACGGCCAGGGGUCAACACUCCUUGCUUCAUUGGAAAUCCUUGCUUGUCACAACCUCCGGUGAUUUUGAACACAUAGCCUUUGAAUUCCUAAAAGUAGCAAAACAAAAAGAAUAGGCCAAUAAUUGAUCAAUGUUCAUCAGGAAAUUUCAGCAGACAGCCAAUCGAAGGAAGGAUUUCAGUCAAAAACCAUACCUCGCCCAAAGCAUCACCAAGAACCUCUUGAGAGAUCCUCUUGUCCCAAAAUGCUCGUCUGCGAUUAAAAACCAAAAUACCAUAACAUCAAUUAAAAUUAUGACAUCUAUCCUUUCUUCCUAACAUCGCAAGCAAUUGAAAAUAAAAAAGGUCAAAGCAUGAAUUACAGCUUCUGGUCGUCAUCAAUCUCCAACUUCUUCUGACAACCGGUGGUCGGAUUCGCAAUGUUGAACUGCAAAAACAGUUAUGAGAGUAAAAUUUAGCCCAAUCAAGAAAUCAAAUCAGCAAACAAGUUAGGGUUUCAGAGAUAAACCUUCAUCUUGAAAUCUGGCCCCGAGUCUGCCUGUUAGCGUCGCAGCAACUAAGUGAAAGGAUAAAAGAAUCUAGGGUUUUUGGCUUAUGAGCGUGGCGGUGACUUUGGUUUUCUUCAAAUUAUUGGGCCUGACCAGCCCAUGACCCGAAAUCUAACAUUUACUUUUGGACAUUGCUCCCUCCACCACCUCCACCACCACUUCCUACACCUCUCCAUAUUCUUUUAAUUCCAAUUUUAUCCUUAACUCUACUUCUUAUUUAUUAUCUGCGCUGCAACACCAAUAUCAUGGAUCUCUCUUCUUCCAUUUCGUUUCACUUCUCCUUAAUUGUUCUUCCUUUCCUUUUUUUUUUUUCUUCAUUUGUUUCUUUCCCAAUUUCGUUUUGGGUUUCAAAGCUUGCACUUCCUAACACGUAUCGAACCAAGUUCUGGUUAUACAUAGUCACGUUUUCUGGACCUGCUCCAAUUUCAUUUGAGUCUCUUACGGAAGGCCAACUUGUCUCGAAAAUUGUGAUCUUAACAUUGUUGUAUUGAACCGUUGACAUGAUAGCAAAAACGGCGUCGAUUCGAGCAUCUAAAAGGUUGGUGUAUUUCAAACAGUUAUCGGAAUCAACCACGCUAGCGUUCUCCUUGAAAAGAGGAUGGUCCAAGGAAAUUUUAUCAGUGUUUGUUGAGUAAACAAAAAACGGGUAGGCUUUCACCAUUAGAGGGAACCGAUUUGGCGGAGGAGGUUGAGCAUGGGUUUAAUAACCGGUUCAACUAGUUCGGUUUUUGAAGGAACCAGAUGUUGCGGGGAAGGAGCUUUGGAGUGCGAAAGAGUGCAAUGGGAUAGAAGAUUUUCAUGUUGGUGUCGAGGUUGUACUUAGUUAAGGAAGCUGACAUGUUCUUCAUUGCCUCUACGAGAAACUUGGUUGUGUUAUAGGGUCAACAAACACUUCGUAGUCCACAAUGACAACUUCGAUUUGCAUGGUUGGGUAGUAUUUAGAGAUGCGGUGAAGGACUAAUCUAUCGUGGAGUUCGAGAGAAACUCGUUUGGCAUGGCAAUCGUCACCUUAAUUCUUGAGUUAACAAACGGUUAACACGGUGACGUCGGUGUCGUAUAGCUUCACAUAGUUCAACCCCUGAUCUUUAGAAGCUCCACCACCUUUGCCGGUGUAGGAAGGUCGUUUGCCAACCUUCAUAGUUUACUCCUACGGACCUGCUUAUAAGAAUUAGAGUAACGAUAAAAAUAUAGCCAUGUCCAGUCAACAAACAAAAACUUAUAAGAAACACUUUUUUUUUUUUUACUUGUUUCAUUUUUUAGUAUCUGAAGUUUAUGAUAUAUGCAAAAGUUUUUAACAUACUAAAAAUAUGAAGAAAGAAAAAAUAGCAGCUCUAAAAAUAAGUAUGCAAUUAAAUUAAAAUUUGUACACAAACAAUAGAGAGAUUAUGAAAAAUAAUAUAAAAAAAUAAACUACUAUAAACAAAAGAAAAAUAAAAGUUAUCUUAAACGGAUGUGAACUUUGGUGUUGAAGGUAAAAACAGAUAUCCACGUUCGUUAUAUCUUUGAUAAAUGUUCACCAAAGGACAAAACAGGAAUAGGAGGUAUCACAAACAGUCCGUAGUGGUGUAAGGAGCAACGUCAUUUACUUUUUGGGUAUUUCACCUCAUUUCAACAUUUUAUUCUAUAUCUCCAAUUUUUUGUUAAAUUUUAAAUUUUUAAUAUAACUAUUAUAUAAUAUAAAUUAUAUUUUAAGAAUUUUUAAAAUAUGAAAAUAUAUUAACUAAUAUUAUAUUUUUAAAUUAAAUUAUUAUUAAAUUUAAAAAAAUUAUUAGUCUUGAAAUUAAAUUAAAUAAUUCUAUAUUAAAUAAUAAACUAAAUUUUAAUGAUAUCAGUCCAAAUAUAUGAUAUAAAAAAUUGAUAGAGCAAAUUUUUUUAAAAUUUUAUUUUUUAUUUAAAAUCUAGUAAUAAAAAUAUAGCUUGCGAAUUGAGACUAGAAAAGAUUUAAAUACUGAUUCCAACCUUUGAUAGGUCUUUUAAAAAUAAAAUAAUAACGAGAGACAAGCUCCAAAUCGUACCAUACCUUAAAUGAAUGGUAAUUAACCUUAAUAAUAAAGGAUACUCGACAGACUGAGAAUCAUAAUAUUUGAGUCUACCUUUCUGUAAGAAAACUUUGUCCUACUUUGCUCUUUCAUGGUUAUCACCCAAAGUUAAUUUCACUUGUCACACAAUAUGAGUCCAAUCCAAUAACAGCCAUUUAGAAUUAAAUACAGACAUCAACAGAACGAGAAAAAGACUUAUAUAACCACACACCUCUGGAACCAAUCACAAUUCACUACAACAAGUAUUAUUAUAAAAAAAAUUACUUUCUUAAUAUAAUAAUUUUAAUUUUUGUUAAUUUUAUUUUAAUUUCAUAAAUUUUUAAUAUUAUUAUGUGAUUAGUUUUUAAUAUUUGUCACGUAUUUAUUAAAGAAAAAAUCAACAUUAAUAUGAAAUCAUGCAUGAUUUCAAUUAUAUUAAAAAUACUUAUUUUUAAUAAACGUACACGUACAAUUAUUAAAGAUUAAAAAUAUGUUAAAUUACCUACAAAAUAUUAAACUUCAAAUAAAUUCAAUGAAAUUAAAAUUUUUAUCAGAAAACUUAAACUUUACUUGUUUUAUAGUAAAGACUAAUAUGUAAGUAUUUAAUGUACUAAUAUGUCUUCUUAUCCAAAAGAGCUUUGUCAUCACUGGUGCUUGUGCAUUCACAUCAUUAGCUAAAGGUCACAGGAUUACUAGUUUGAAUUAUGAUAGGUGCAAGUACUAUAUUCUAAAGAUUUAGCAUACAUUUUAUUUUAUUCCAAAUAAAAGGUGGGAACAUGUUAAGGUUACACUACAAUAAUUGCAUUCAAAAAACUUGUUUCUAUUGCCACAAAAAUGACUAAAUUUGAAUAGCAAUCCCCUUUUACUUGGGUUUCCUCAGCAAUAAUUUUUGGAUAUAACAUACUCAACGAUAAAUCUGUCAUCAUAAUAUCAUACAUCUACCUACAGUUUACAUCUCACUGUACAUAAUCUCAUAUAUAUCAGCAAACAAGGCUAGUAAACUUGUAUUCAGAAAUCAUGGGUCCCACUUCUGAGAACGAGAAAUUCCUCUUCUAACCCUACAUAUCUUGCAAGCAUAUCUUAGCAAAGAUGAAUUCAAAUACAAGUGUGAAUUUAAUGUUGGAUAUUUCAUCCACUGUGUAAGAUUCCUCAAUUUGUUAAGCAAAUGACCGAAACAUCUCUAUGCAUGAAUGAUAUACUUACAUAUGCUUGGUAAAGAAACAAACUACACAAAGUUUUUCACCUCUGAAAUGGUUCCCGGAACAAAAGUUUCAGAUAGAAGUUCCAAUUUCCCAUGAAUGUAUCUCUGACAUUAGGAUCUAGCUGGAGUCACCAUUCCUUCUCCUUCAGACACUCUAGCAGAGACUGUGGCUCAUUCCUCAGGUUUGUCACUGCACCACAUCCACACUGGCUUGGUCUUUGAAAAUUGUUGUAGACACUAGUUUUGUCAACACCAAAAACAGAUAAAAAACCAGGCUGCAAUAGUGGGGGCCUUGGGGGCUCCAUUUAUGUCACUGGUUAGAAGACAAAGGGUUGUUGUUGCUCCAACUAUCAAAUUGAUCAAACCUGUAAGUAUCAUGAUAGAGAAAGUUUACAGGACCAGGAGUAUUCAAAUGAGUAGGUAGCAUGUAAUUGUUGGUCGUUUCAGGUUUGUAGUUCUCUCUAUACCAACGCAGCCAUUCUGAAGAAGUCAUUCUUCCAAGUGAUGGGUAUCCAUUAGAAAGAACAGAAAAUCUAGGAUCAUAUCCACGUGGUCCAUAAGUAGAACUCCAAUCUGAGUUGUCUGGAAACAAUGGAGGAGAUAAACAAGACUGUGCAUCCGUAUACCAUGUAGCAUUAUCAGGAAGUAAUGGAGCAGAUGGCACUGGAAGGGAAUAUGUAGCAGAAGGGGAAUAAUGGUAGAUUGAAGACUCAUCUACUGAACUUGCGACCGAAUUUUCAGUUUUAUUGAUGGAAAGACUGACCAAAGAUGAAGAGGCUAUUUCCUCAAUUGGCUGCAGCCUUUUCCCACCAAGGUCAUUUGUUCCAUUAUUUUUGUAAUCGCUCAAGCUUCCUCUACCAAGCACCCAAGCAUUGAGAGAAGGAGGGCCUGCAGAGAUUAGGGCUUCAGGAAAAGUAUGUGCAUUUGAUUCCUUUGUUGAAGAUUCUUGUUGUUUAAAUGAUCUGUCACUCCUUAAAUCCAAAAAUCUGUCAUGGAAUUCCCAUGGAUCACUUUGAGUUUGAGCUGGGUUUUGUGCCAUAAGCAGAGAACUAGCACGGCGCAAACAAUCAUUAGACUGAACGCUUUGGUUGUCCUUGUGUUUUGGUGACAUCUGGUCAACAGUGGACUUAGAGGGGUGUGAUGGUGCUGAAUUAUACCUUGUGAGGGGCCUGAAGAGAAUAACUUCUUCCUCUUCCACUACAUAAGAUUUUCCAAUGGUGCUGGAUCUACUUGGAUUAUCCUCUCUCAUCCAUUUGCCAUACCCUCCCGAGUCUUCUUCAGAUUGUCGAUAAUGCUCUUCCAAUUUUGUGUUAUUGCUAUUGGACUCCACAUUUUUUGUUUCUUCCUUGUCGUGAUCUUCAUCUGGUCUAGCCACAUGAAAUUUAUUUCCUAAUUUAUCAUAUUUAAUCCACUUCUGCCAAGUCUUUGAUCUGGUGGCCAUCUUUAUCGCUGCUUCUCUGAUGCGCUCAGUGCGCAAAUCAAUUCCACUUUCAAAGUUGUCUAAGUGUUCCCAAUUACCACAGAAAUCCAAUGAGACAUGUGAACGAGCUAUAGGUAUAAAGCCCCUCAACUCAUAAUCCUCCCACAGAGGAAAUCUAUCAAGAUGCUUUUUGGUUUCCUUUCUAUCAGUCUUUAGUUGAUUCAGAAGUUCAACAAACACAUAAAAAAAAUAGGAAAUAGCUCUUGUACAAUUUUGGUCGGUUGCACUUAUGUCAUGUAUGCUUGAACACCACUCCACAAAGACAAGCACUGAAGGCAACAGAGGGCAAUGAUUCAAAGAACUCGCCUUUAGGCAUCUUUCAGUGAAACGUCCCAUCAAGCUAAAUGCAGCAGCUAAUGCCAGUUGCCUCAACUGCCUUUCAUUUGUGUCUUCAGAUUCAUUUUUUCCAAGUAGAUUUGUGAGGGAGAAUAUGAUAAUAGAAACUGCUUGUAUGGCUCGGAAAGGACCUCUUCUGGCUAAGUCCAUUUGACUAUAGGAUUCCAACGUGGUCUUUAGUUCCCUGUCUUCUAGCUCCAUCAUCUGAUCCAAUCCUCCAAUUGUGGAUGCCAAUGCAAUAGAGAAUUCCUCCAAACUGAUUAAGUAAAUAACGGUAAACAACAGAAAGCACACAAAAGGAACUAAAUGUCCACAUGAAUCUAUAUUAAACCUCUGACCCAACACAUAAUUCAGAAGAGCAUCUAGCUAUCUAGAUAUUUUUUACAGCCGACUAUGAAAUUACUUUUAUUUUAUUCUCACCCUUUUAAUUAUAAUUUUAAUGCAUGCAGCUAUUAUCAGUGUAUUUAAAAACUUAUCAUCGGUAUAUUCCUUUUGACGUUGAAAACCUCAAAUAUGAUCUUCAUAACAUAAAGAGUGUCCACGAUGAAUUAGUUAUUAACUGUGAACUCAGCAGACUUGUUCAAGAGACACUAAUGAAGGAUAUGGAAAAUAUGCACGAUUCAUUGACAAAAAUAGGAAAAUUGAAACAGUAAAAGGGUAAGAUAACAUGCCAAGAAAAGUUGUAAACCAAAUAAAAAGAAUCCAAGAUAUACCUUGACGAUACGAAGAAGAAACUCAUUGUUCUGACGACAAGUGACCAUAAUUUUGUAAAAUGAUUAUUUUUGCCUUCAAACUUUUUGCAGUUUGAGCUAUCGUCUUUGCCUUGCACCUUGGUCUCUUCACCAAUUCUGCAAAAAGGUUUCAUGAAAUCUACAGAGACUUCGCUGGAAAUAAACUCCAGAGGAGAUGAUCUAUUCUGCAAUAUCAAUAGAGACACUUGAGGAGAUGAAUGAAAGUAUAAGAUGCUUAGAAACAUUAAGCAUACGGAUAAAUAGCAGUGCAUUAAAGAGCCUAAAUGUCGUAUGACCUUUUCAAACAACAAGAUAAGGUUGUUCCAGGCAUCGGGAAAAGGUUGUUUAACUGCUAAACUUCUUAUACAGUGGUAGAGAGCAAGAAAUUCAUCACCGAUAUAUGUUGCCAGUACAGCCAACUGCAAACGAGAAAGAUUACCACCAUUUGAUAAAAAAGACUAACAAAUAGAAGGCAAAGUUUCUCAUGCAACACUGCAAUAGGUAACAAUCAUUACCUGAUUUUGUGGGUUACCACUGUCUGGCCAAAUCCUUGUCGCCUCCAAAUAAUGUGUGGCAGCAACCGACCAAUUAUGAUGUUGAAUAUCUGGGUUUUCACAUUGUUGCUUAUACCUGGAGAGAUCCCCCAUACAAACUAGGCAGCGAUGACACAAAUACUGGCAUUUCUGCAUGACAUCUGUUUCGACAGAAGCAUAAUUCCAACCCUUUUUAUAAAACAAAGCCUCCACGGGGACUCCAAAAUUUUUUCUAAUUUUGACAAUCAGAGUUUGGUAAAAUUCAAUAGCUUCUGUCAGAAAUAUCUUAAAUAGCUUUAAAUGACUGUCAUUGUCUCUAUGCACAACAUGAUUUUGAGGCGUUCCUGAUAUUUUGCUUUCCACGUUACCAGAGCUUUUCUUUAUUAGUUUUCGAAACUCAUCGAUAUGCUUAUAGUGCAGCUUCCACAGAGAAUAUUCAACAUCCUGAAGUUCUGAAAGCAUGAGAUCACUCAAGAUUUUUAUCUCAUAACCAGACCGAACCUUGCGGUACAAGUCUUGAGUAUCAGAGUGCAAAAGUCCUUUAGAAUGCAUGAAUGCCCACAACUGCUUUUCAUAAUUCCCAAUCUGAACAAAAGUUAACUGAUAUCAAUUAAAUCACAUUUCCCAAGUCCAAAACAUAACAAAGAAUCCUAGUUUUGGAAAGUCACCUCUGAGAGAACCUUUUCUUCUUUAUGAAUUCCAGGAGAAAGGGAUAGAUUGCUUGUCAUGGUUCAAACUAAAAAAUUCGUUCAAAGUUGAUGCAUCUGCUUGUAGCACAAACAGGGCCUGUCAGUUGUGUCAUUCUUGGUACAAGGAAAGGCGGAAAUUUUAAAAACUAACGAAAAAAAUGAGUCUAAAAAUCUUAAUAUUCGAUUUCAACAUACUAAACAGUUUAUACUCUAAAUAUAGUUACCACCACCAAAAUCACACUAUGAAAUUUAAUUCCAAGACUAAAAUUUCAAUUUCCAGUUGAGUGGUGUCUGCACAGAGAAGAGGGCUUUUGAUGCUCUGUUCAACGAAUCGAAGGAAACUUUUAAUGGAUUCUACAACUAACAUGAAAGUCAAAACAUGGAUGAACUUUUGUAGAUGAAUGAGUGGUCAAUGCAACCAAUAAAGGAAUGACCGCGUAGACACAAUUGCUCCCCGAUGUUUAAUGCAAUACUAUGACCACCAUUACAUGAAGCAUACUUUUGUCAUGUAAUUUUGAUAAAAUUCUAAUGUUAGUACAUAGCAAGUUCUUUAAAUCGUGAAAACAAAGGGCAGUUGAUUUCAAUACCACUAAUUAGCAGAAAUAUUUGACAGUCCUUUUAACAGAAAAAUGGAUUUUGUAUUUCUGAACUAAUAUCUUGUCCCCUAAAAUUCUCUCAUAUCAACAGCAAGCAAAAAUAUGCGAGUAUUUGAAUAAGCAGCCACAACUUUCCCAUGACUGAGAAAACGUGUAGAACGACGGCAGUCUCAAGACAGAGGUUGGUUUUGUAUCUUUUUAUGAGUGAGAGAAAAAUUCAAGGUUGCGCAAUGAGAAGGAAAGGAAAAGAAAAAGAAAAAGGGACUAGCCCUUGAAUUUUCCACCCCAUAAUUUAAGGGAUACCAAAUCGACAAAAAGAAUAACAGACAAUUAAGCACAUGAUACCAAGAGCCCAGCACCUUUUCCAUUCAUGGAAAACACGCAUCCCUAAAUGAAAUAUCUAACUCAAAAGUUGUGCUGUGAUCUAUGCAAACGACUUCUUAAGGGAGGAACGACAGUGACCUUAUUUGAGAAAUAUCAUCAUCAUCUUUGUGGAUAAGUACAUAUGAAAUAAUUCAGGAGGCGAUAUAACCAUGUUUGAGAUAAGAGGACAUAGAGAAAACCAAAUAACUCAAUAUGAGCUUUUUUUAGGAGUGAAGUAUCAAUCAGACUAGCGUAGCAGUUUGCUAACAUCUCAAUAUCCAAACAACGCAUCAACACGCAACACAAGGGGCAAGCAAGCAAGCGUUGCCACCACAACCCUAAAUAACGCAAAAAAGAAAGAAAAAAGAGCAAGAAAUAAAACCCACAUCAACAAAAAUAGACACAGCAUAGACAAGACCAAAACGAAAGAAAAAAAAAAUACAGAUUUUGCUAUUCUUUAAGGUGAUAAGAAAGUAUGAAAAUGAAGUAUAAGAAUUUAGAGAAAAACAAAUAUUACCAAUGGAAGAGGAAAGUCAUUAGUGAACAUUUGUAACUGGGGUAAGCUAGCGGCAUGAAAUGAAGCAGAAAGCGAUUCGAAAUCAGCGAAAGCAAGAAAGAGAAAGAGAAGAAGAUGUAAGCGGAGAAAGGGAGAAGAAAGAAGCAAGAAGAAUUGGACCACUAGUAGGGGUUUCUGUUGUGAAACAGACAAAGUAAAAGGUGGGAUUAUGAUGAGGAGACUGAAUACAAGACAACAAUCUUAACCAUAUUCAGGAUUUUGAUAUAGCUUUUUUCUAAUGGUAAAGAAAUAUGUAAAACGAAUAAAAUAAAGUGCUUUAUCAUCAUCAUCAUCAUCCAUCUUUAUGACUAAAAUAUGAAGGAUCACUGUCUGAACGAGGACAAAUCAUCUGCGUGUGUGCCUAGGGACACAUCACAAUGACUUGUCUAGGGUCAAUAACACAACUAAAACCCAUCACACUUUCUUACAUACAGAAUUCGAUCAGAACACCAAUUCAGCUCCUCUACAGUUUACGAGUAAAUAAAAUAAAAAAGAUUCGUUUUUAUUUCUAAAUUUUGUGAUUUAUAGGAAUAAUUUAAUUAAAAUAACUUAAUAUCUUUGCAGCACUUCAACAAUUCAAUUAGAAAAAUUUCGACACAGUGGUAAUUACUUUAAAAUCUCGAUAUCUUCGCUGACAAACUUUCUACCGAUGCUGAAACCAAGUGACAGAGAAGGCUCUGGAACUAUAACACAUCACAAUUUGGAUUUAUAUCGAAAAGCGACAGAUACAGUCGCAUGAAAACGUUAAAAAACUACGUACAAUCAUCCUGAUUUAAUCAAUUUUACUUUCGAAAUUUUAAUUUCCAAAACCCAAUCUAUGAAUAAUUACUUCACUGUAAAACGUUGGCAAAAUUUGGUAUUAAAAUUUCAUAUAGGAAUAUUUCAGCAAUUGUUUUGUUAAUUACUCAAUGAUUUUGAAAGUUUUAUAUUUUAUUGUGAGAGUUUGAAUGAUCUGAUUUUAGAAGUUUGAUUUUGACUGCACAGGUGUGCAUGAUGGAUUGGGUGUGGUGAAGGGUAGUUGGGAGGUCAUGCAUUCAAUUAAAUUUUCAGAACCUCUCAAAAACUGAACAAUGUCUUUAUGCCACUGGCUCAGUCUCACAUCACAACAAGUUUUGGUCAAUUUCAUAUCUUAUUUAUUGGUUGCAAUUUAUUGAAUCUCAUAAUUUUUAAUAAAUAUUGAAAUAUGUGUCAUGUUCGAGUAAUGAGAAUGAGCUAUGAGCUGCAGAAGCAAUUUUGAGGAAGAAACAAAAAGUUUAAUUUAGGAGAAUAAGUUUUUGCAAUGCAGUCUUGCUUCUCAAAAUAACGUUUUUUCUUUCUUAAAAGUAAAGAAAAGACUAAAUACAAUUUUAAAUAAAAUAUAACCUAAAUAUAUAUAUUUAAAUUUUUAUUCAUAAUUUUUUAAGAUGAAAAAAAAAAACUUAAAAGCAUAAUGUUGCGUUAAAAAGGUUUGAUUAAAUUAUUAGUAAUACAAAACAAAAUUAAUAAAGAAAAUAUCAAUAAAAUACUGCACCCUUUACUUUUUAUCUGUCUCCAUUUUGAAAAAAAAAAACAUUUUUUACUGUUAUUAUUCUAUUUUUAUUAUCAUUAUUAUUUAUUAUAUUCUUAGUCUUCCUAAUAAAAUGUAAAUAAUUUAUACAUAUAGAGCGAGAAAUUGGUAAAACUGAAACUAUAUAGCCAUCUUAUUUGAAUGAGAAUAAAAACCUUUAUAAUUUGUUCACUUGAAUGGAUUUGGGAGAGAGUGAUUGAAUAAAUUUGAAAGGAUUUGAAGAUAAAUUUUUUGUUGUUUAUUUGAGUGAAUUUGGAACUAAGUGAGAGUAAAUUUAGAAGUAAAUUUUUUUAAUUUGUCAUAUAAAUCAAAUCCUAUACUAAUUUUCACAAAUUUUACUUCUAAAUCUACUUUCACUUAUGUCAAAAUCCACUCAAAAAACAACAAAAAAAAAUUAUCUUUAAAUUCUCUCAAAUUCAUUCAAUCACUCCCCCAAAAUCUAUUCAAGUGAACAAGAGAUAAAAGAUACAUAAAUAGAGUAUUAUGAUUAUUUUUUGUUUCAAUCAAUAAAUUUAUUAUUUAAAGUUGAUUAUACUGGGAUUGAUAAAAAUGAAAGAUUUGUUAUUGAGCUUCCAUUGCAAACAACUGUUGUGAGUUGUGCCAAUGGGAAAGGGUUGAUUAAUUUGAAUUGCCAAUGUUUAAAUCUAAGAGAUUAGAUUAAGCAAUCAUUCUUGACAACUUUAAUUUCAUCAUCAUACAGUUUUUAAAUUUAAUUCAUAUUAUAAAAUUCACAAAAAUUAAGUUAAACAAUUUGUUUAAGCAUGCAGUGUGAACACUCUUUGUUGAAAGUCUGAUAUUAUAACUCUUCUAGUGUACUUUUUUUAAAAUAAUUUAUGAAAGUUGCAUAUGCGCAAUAUUUUAAAGUGAAUAUUUGAUUACAGUAUAUUGAUCAUAAAAAAAUUUAUAAUCAUGUAUACAGGUGAUAAAUUCGUAUUGUAAUAAUUAAUUAAUGGUAUACUUUUAAUUAUAUGAUAAUAUAAAUUUUAAAAUCUUGAAAAAUGUUGUCCAAUCGACAUAUGCAACUUAAAUAAUUGAGAGUUUCUUAUAUAUUUAAACUUUUUUAAAGUCUUCAACCUCAUUGACUCGUUUUGACAUUGUAGUUUUCCUUGUUGCUUCUUUGUAACAAAAACGAAAGCUACUCUGUGUGCUUUAUUAAAUGUUUACUCCUAUGUUAUAGUAUUUUUAAUUUCAAUAUUUAUAUUUUAUUUUUCAUUAUUAGUUUGCAUUUUUUUAUUAACUUUUUUAUGGAAUGUAAAGGUAACGUCAUAACAUAACAAGUAAAAUUGUCAAUAUAGUAAUUCUGACAUAAUAAAAAAGGGUCACGUUAAUUUUUUUUAUAUAUAUAAUAAAAAAACUGACGUGUUUGUAAGGAUUAAAAUAAAAAAUAAAUCUUAUUUAAGAGUGUAAUCUCCAAACUACUAAUAUAUAUCACCAAAUAAAAUUAAUAUAAUUGAAACAAUAAAAAGUAUCAUAAUUAAAUAAAAUGAGAAAUUAAUAAAUUAUGUUAAUAUUAAAAAUAAUUUAUGUAACAAGUAUUUAUAAUAAUUAAAGGAAUUAACAUAAGUAUGGUUAAGAUAUUAAACAUGUUUAAAUAUAUUUUAUUAAUACAGCACUUUUUAUUUUACUUGUGAAAUUUGUAGUAUUUUAUAAAUAUAAAAAGUCGAUAUAUACUCAUUCUUACAAGUAUACCGUUUUAUUUUAGUUAUUAACCACAUCAUAUAUUAACAUACAUUUUGAUAAUUUUGCUGAAAAUGUCACUCUUCUGUGACGAUAUUUUCACAACUUAUAAUAAUACCAUCAUUAUUAAAUUAAGCUAAAAAAUUCUUAUGUCAAGAAAAAAAAAAGGUUAAUUAAAGCUUAUCACUAUCAUAUCAAAAUCCAAAAGGAGAAUUAUAAAUGCCAAUAUUUCCUCACGGGAUUUUAAUUCCUUUUUGUAGGAAUGCCACCUAUCUUCGCAUUUAAUUAAGAUCUCGGAUAGACAUAAUCUUUUGACUCCUAUACAUUUUUUUAGUACCGAAAAAAAAAAACACGCGAAGUGAAAACUUGCACUCUUUGUCUUACUUAACUGUGACAAUAAAUCCAAGAAAACUACCAAACUCAGAUGUACAUUACAAGUUUAUAUUUCCUCUCUUCAUUCAUAUUAGUUAUUUAAGAAUUUUUGUCUCAUAAAUUAAGAAAAUUAUUUACUUUUUAUUCUAUUUAAUACAACUCAAAGUAAUUACUUGAUAUAGUUUAUUGAAAUGCAUAUUUAUGUAUUAUUAAUUAUUUUUCUCUCCUCUUCAGUGUUAAUUAAAACUAAAUGAGAUUAUAAAAACAUAUAUUAUCUUAAAAUUUAAAAAUUGACAAAUAAAAGACAUUUUUAUUAAAAAAUUUACAAAUUAAAAUUGUAUAAUAUGAUAGUCCAAUCAGUUUAAGAAUUGGCCGUAAAAAAUAUUUAGAGGUUGAAUUGAGUUAUUGACUUUAAACAAAAAUUAAUGUUAAAUAGAAUUAUGUUAAAUCUAAGUAUUUUCAUUACUGAUUGGACUUUAAUUAAAUUCAUGCUAAUUUGAAAUCCAUUUCAAAAUUUAUAAAUAGAUAUUGUAAUAAAUUGGUUACUAUUAAUAUACAUUUAUUAUUAGUAUGGUUGAAUAUUUAUUAAGUAUAUUUUUUAUAGGUAACUUUUCAAUUUAACCAAAUGAUAGGUAAAAAAAAAAAAUAUGACUUAUGCUAUACUUUGAGUUAAGAAAACGGAUCAAAUAAAAUAAUUGACCUUUACUCACAAUAAAAAAAAAAACUAUUUUAAAAAUAAAUUUUACAGUAUUUAAAAUUUUGGAGACUCUCUAUAUUUCUAGAAGUUGUUAUAGAGAUAUGAGAAAUUUUGCAUGGUUGUAUGUUGAUGACGAUGACGAUGAGCAGAAUCAUCUCACCAAUCUGGAGUUAGUUAACAUCCCAAUCCGAAUUCUAAAGUCAGGAGUUGGGUUAAGAUGAUAGAGACAGAAAAUUAUGAAAGAUUAGCAACUUAUAUUGUGAAAGAUUUUACAUAAUAAAAAUAUUGGUUGUUAGAAGUAGGGGUUGGCGUGGGGCUAACGUAGUUGUUGUUUGGUAUUUGUUUUGGAGCAAAAUUCAAAGUUGAUAUUAUUCAUUAAACAUGUUAUAGGUCUCACUUCUGUCGUUUCCAUCCUACAGGAACGACUUAUAAUUGAGGUCAUCGUCUCUGCUGAAGAAGCUGGAAACAAGGACAACUUUUAACUAUGAAUUCACACAAAGACACGAAUUCAAUUCUUAUUUUUAACCAGGUUUAAUCCAUUUAGUUGUCUCUAUUUUUGGGAAGUUUUUCUAUUUUAAUCUCCGUCUUAUUCGAAUCCCCAAUUAAGUUUUUAUAAGUGUUAAUUUCAAUCAAUUAAGUCCCUGCCGUUAAAUUUAAUUAACAAGAUUAACUUUUUUACACAGAUGGGAGGAUGACCUAUUAAUUAAGUCCCAUAAGUGCUAAAUGGUUUAAACCUUUCAACAAUUACAAAAGUUGGUGCAAUCUAAGAAACUAAUCUUACGAGGUUAACUAGUUUUACAACCAUAAAGUGACUUGGUUGCAGAUAACGUGUCGAAUAAGCCGUAAACAUGCAAGUGUAAUGAGAAACGUUGGAGAAUUAUUAUUAAUUAACAGUUGCAUAGCGUUGUGAGUUAUGAAUUGUAUUAAACAGUAUUGGGACCUAGUUAAAUAAUAUUAAUUAGCAGUGACAUGAUAUAAUGUAACGGAAUACACUUUUUAAGUGUCUUUGCUUCACUUCAUCGUUAGAUUUUCUACCAUUAUCGGGGAAUCCUAAGUCAUCUUAACUAUGUACCUGUCUGUCGGGUGAUUUUGAGUGGAUGCAAGAAUAAGUGUUGACGAAUAGACAAAACUACGACACACUAUAAAAAGUAGGAUAACCCAUUCAUUUACUUUUCAAAGUAAAAAAGUUAUAUAAAUAAUUUUAUAAGUCUUCAAAAUCAUCCUAAAUUUGAUAUGUAAAGAUCUUAAUAGAAUAUAUUAAUCCUCGUUAAAUUGACUAGUUCGGCAACUUGAAGUUCCUACUAAAGAACUAAUCCUCACGAGAUGCUCUGGUUAAAACUUUUUUUUUUUUAAUUUCUACAUUUCAUUCAUCUUCACUGAUAAAAAAUUAAUACAUUUGUAAAAAAGAUAAAAUCAAACCUAACCAACAAAUCAUAAUAUUAAGUAAUUCAUAUGUAUUUUCUUUUAUAAUAUUUAAGAUCAAUUGAUAAUUUAGUUUUUAUAUUUCCACUUUAAAGUUAAUAUCAAUUUAACAAUAGAGAUGGCAUUCACUCUAUUUAACUAAGAGACUUAAUUAAAUAAAAAAUUAAUGAUUAAAUUAUUUCCCAAUUAUAAGACCUUCAUAUAGUUUAUAUUAUAUACUAAUGCUUUCUUAAGGUUGAACAUCAAUAAAACAAAAUAAGUAUUUUUAAUACAAGUGCUAUUUAAUUUCUAUAUAAUUAAAUGAUGAAAAAGUAUGCCAUUUUCUUUAUUUACAAUAUUAUAUAUGUAUCAAAUAUUAUAUAUUUGGAAUGUAUAGAAAAUAAAGAUUUAAGUUAUGUAAAAAAAAAAAAUACUUAGUAAUUUAGUUCUUAUAUUUAAGUUUACUAUUCAUUUUGAUUAUUAAUUUUUUUAUACAAUUGAGUUUAAUAUUUUUGUGUGAUUCAAUUGAGUUUUAAAUUUAUUAAAUAAAAUCAAUAUGGUCCAAUAUGUUAAAUUGUCCUUAGCCUUAUUUAGAUAGUAUUAUGUAUUAAAAUUUAGAUUAUCAUCUAUUUUAGAACGUGUCAAAUGUUACAUUUGACUGUUUGAAAGUAGAAGGUGAUUCAAAAUUUGAAUGGAUUGAUCCAAUUUUUUAAGUGAUAUAUUUCAAAUAAUCUAAACUUCAAAUUUAAUGGAACGAACCAUGUUAACUCUUUUUUAAAUAAAAAAAAUAGAAACUCAAUUAAGUACUUUUUAAAAUAAAGACUCAAUUGAGUCUAUUUAAAAAUAAGUACUAAUUAAACCAAAAAAUUACUACAAAAACUUAUUUGAUUGGUUUAAUACUCUUAACUUAAUAACCCAAACCAAAAUUGCAUAAUUAUAUCAUAACAUUAAAUCUAGAUAGGUGUUCUACUAUAAGCGUUAACACCAAAGAUGAUAUAACAACUUUUACAAAAUCAAUGUCAAGUAAUUGAAUAUAUAAUAUGAAUUUUGAGGACGAAGGAUAUAGAUUCAAAUAUGAGACUCAGUAGCAUUCCCCUCAUAUUUUAAACCUUUUGACAAUACACAAAAAGAUCUCAUAAACCUCUACUUAGAAACAACAAGGCCAAAUCUUAAUAAUAUGAAUCAAAGACAUAGUCAACAAUUAAACAAAUCAUUCUAACACCAAAACAUGAUUAAAAGAAGAUUGGACCUCCACCAAAAAAAAAAACAAGGUUCAUCAUCGUUACUACAUAUAGAUAAUUGGGUAUCACUAGUAAAAAAUAAGGAUUAUACAGCGCACAUUAUGCCACGGUUCACCAGAAACCGCAGCAUAAUGUUGCGCGGUGGCAGUUUUGUAAAUAAAUCGAACUUAUAUGCCGCGGUUCCCCACCUAACCACCGCAUAUACCCCAGUCAACCAUCACCUUUGACUCCACGUCAGAAAAAAAAUUUAAUAACAGGAGAAUAUGUCGUGGUUCUCUGCCAAACCGCGACAUAUACCCCUGUAACCUCCUGACAUCCCCAUCAGUCAGCCCCUGCAAUAAAUUGGCAGGGGAAUAUGUCGCGGUUCUCUGACCAACCGUGGCAUAUUCCUCUGCCAAUUUAUUGUCGGGACUAACUGAUUGGGAAUGUCAGCAGGUAGCAUGGGGAAUAGGCCGCGGUUGGUUAGAGAACCGCGGCAUAUUCCCCCUGCUACCUGCUGACAUUCCCAAAAAGGCAGUUGGGAGGCAGUUGGGGGGAUUCUAAACGUUGGAGAAUAGGUCGUGGUUGGUCAGAGAACCACGGCAUAUUCCCUGAUCUGAGUAAAUUUUAAAAUUUUCAGAGUAUAUGCCGCGGUUGGGCGCUGAACCGCGACAUAUAAGUUAAAAAAAAUUCAAAAAUGCCAUUAUGGAUUAUUUUUUUUAAAUGAAUAGGUCGCGGUUAAGUGUAGAACCGCGACAUAUUCCCCCUUUAUGCCCCGGUUAAGUGUAGAACCGCGGCAAAUUCUCUUCUGAAGGUUAAAAAAAUAAAAAUCGCGAACAAUUUCGUCUUCUUCGCGAAACAGUUUCAGACCUGCGUUUUGCUUCCUUCUCCGUUAACGAUGACCCUGUUCUUCCAUUCUCUCAUUUUGUUCGGUGCAUUUGCCAUUUUUUACGUUGGGGAAGAUUUUUGACCGAUCAGAAUCGUCAUUUUCUACCCUGAGAUCGUGAACUGCAUUUUGUCGCGCCCAUUCCAGGUACUUCCUUUAUGCCCUCGUCAAGUUUUUAAGCCUCUAUGUUUGCUUUCGUUUCUUGAUGCAUAUGUUGUUGUGGCUUUGAUUAUUUUUGUCGAAUUUGUUGUGGUUUCGGUCGUUCUUGAAGAGGCAAAGUAUGUUAGCUUUUAUUUAAGUUUUUAUUUUUUUUUAUCAGCAAUUUUUUUUUUAAUAAUAUGCUAUGAACUUUUUUUAUUUCAAUUUUUAUUUAUGUAAUUAUGUGUGAUUGAAACCUCAAGCUUGAGGCAGAUGCUAGACCACCAUCUCAGAGUGGUAGCCCCCCUCAGCCUCCUUCUCCCCCGUCUAGACAUGAAAAAUGGAAGCUGGCUCGUAUGAGACCAUCGGGCACCUACUCUUCCGACACUGCAAGGGAGAUUUCUGAAAGAAUUGUAAGUUAUCACUGUUCCUAAAAUAAUAAGUAUUGUCAUUAUACAUACUACAUUAAACUAUUUAAAGAAUAAUGAUGUUUUGUAAUGUUACAGGACAUCUUGGUUGAGCAGAGCUCCCAAGGUCAAUUCACUCCAGAGGGUCGCCAGGAUAUUCUUGCUGCUGCGAUUGGACGACCUGAGCACCCUGGACGUGUACGUGCUGCAGGUCCUGGAGUAGGAAUUAAACAUUAUUUUGGGAGCUCUUCUCGUCAGUCUUCAUAUGCAUACAACGAAAUACAAAGAGAAAUGAUGACAGAAGAGAUCAGAAAAAAGGUCCGAGAAGACCUUAGAGAGGAGAUCAGGGCCGAGGUUAGAUUAGAGAUGAGGGUUGAAUUCAGCGCUAUGUUUCAGCAGGAGUUUCAGACCUAUGGCAUGCGCCCGGUGCCAUCUCCUGUACAGGAACCUGUUAUCCCUCCCACAGGUAAACUUAAUAAACAUUUAUGUGCAAUUAUUUCUAUCUUUUGUAUAAUCUAACAUUUACUAUGACAGGGAGAAGCGGGAAAGGAAGUUGUUCCGCACCAGCCAUCCCAGAGGAUGACAUGGACGAUGGUAGUCCAUGUCUGCUAUACAUUUUAGAGGAUACCGAGAUGGUCCUGGUAGCUCGUGGAACAGAGUUUAGGUCAGCGACUGUAUGUCAUGGUAUGCAACUAUUAGAGGAUGAGGUGAAGGUCUCANUGGAUGAAAUGAUCAUANNNGAUGCCUCGGUUCCUCUGGCCACAGAAGAGAUUUUCACUGUGGAACAAGCAUUUAAGUCGUUUAUCACUUGGCCUAAAUUUUUGGUUAAACCAGUUUCUGACCCCUCGGUAUGAAAUUCUUCUUUACACUUCUCAAUUUUAAAGGUUUUUCAUGUCAAAACUUAUCUUAUUUUUUCAUGUAACAAUAGACGCAGGCACAGGAGAAGAUUCCUCUAUCUGAGGAUGAUCCUCUUGCUUCAUUGCAUCUACUUGCUGACAUCCUUGAUGAGAAGCCUUUGGAGGUUGAAUAUGAUGCUAAUGUAUUUGGGAGAGGCUCUAAGAUCCCAAUAUACCUUCAUAGCCAAGAUGUCCAUGAGCUUGCGUCGGGAACACAAGAGUUGAAUAUUUCAAUUAUUCAGCUAUGGAUGAUGUAAGUCUAUGAACAAUUAUUUAUAUAUAAAAUUGAUUUAUAUAUCAAGUAUCCUUAUAUCAAAGUUAAUUUUUGAUUUCAGGUAUAUGUCUGGGGUCAGUAACAAGUUGGGGCGUUCUGAUGAUUAUGGAUUCAUUGAUCCCCAAUCAAUUCAUGAAUCAAAUGAUUUUGAGCAGAUCAACAUGAAUCUGAUAAGAAGUUUUGGAAGGGGCAAGAAAAUAUACUUUUUGCCUUAUAUAUCCGGGUAAGUGAACUUUGUUAACAUAAUAAAGUUCCAUAUGUGAUUUUCAUAUUUAAUAGUUACGUUAUUAUGAAUUUCAGGCGUCAUUGACAACUUCUUGUUAUGUCUAUGCAAGAGAACUAUGCUUUGUGGUUUUGUUCAUUGCACAUGCCUCCUCCCACACAACUCAGACAAGCAAUUGAUUGGUAAGAACCUCAAUGUUUGGACUUUCUUUGUUAUAUAAAUGAAUGCUAAAACCUUUUUUUAUAUAUAGUUCUAUUCCAGCAAGUAUGAUGAUGGGUGGGAGAUCAAUUGCUAAUAGUAGAAAGAUUGCUUGGAUUUCUCUCAAGGUUUGACAUAUGCUAAAGUCAUACUUUGUUAUAGUUGUUUUAUUUUAAUGUUAUUCACUAACUAUUAUCAACUGUGAUGAUAUAUUGUAGUGUAACAGACAAAAUGGGUCAUAUGAGUGCGGAUAUUAUGUAAUGUAUUGGAUGACCCAUAUUGUUCGUUCUCACAUCACAAGUCGUUGGGAAACGGUAAUAUUUAACUUUAACAAAUUUUGAUUUUUUUUCCCAAAUGUUGAAUUCAUAUACACUAAUUAAUAUGAAUUGUCUUUUGCAGAAAUUCAAGACUACUACACCAGUUCCUGAGAAGUCACUAUUAUUCAUAAGGAACGCUGCUGCGAAGUAUAUAAUUAGAUUAUACAAUAGCUCUUAGUUAUUAGAUUUAAACAUUGCAUUUGAUUAGAUUGUAUUUUAUUAGACUUUGUACUUUAUUUGAUGUUGAAAUUGAAUUUGUGUACAUGUUUUUAUAUGCAGGUCUGUUUUUGUGGUAGUGGAUAUCACAAAAACAAACCUGCAAUUUUAAAAAACUGCAGGGGAAUAUGCCGCGGUUGUGACCACAACUGCGACAUAAAGUGCUCGUUUUUUUUUUUAAAAAAAAUAGACAUAUGGCCGCGGUUAGUGCUAGAACCGCGGCAUAUACCUAUGUCUUUUGCCGCGGUUGAACCGCAACAUAUACUGGACCAAUUUUUAUUUUUUUUAAAAAAAUGGAUUUAGGCAGCGGUUCCUUGGACAACCGCGGCAUAUUCCCCAACUUAUAUACCGCGGUUUUAACCGCGGCCUAAAGUCUCUGAUUUACUACCGCGGCGGAAUAUGCCGCGGUUCGUAAACCGCGACGUAUAGUGGAAAAGAACCACGGUAAAAACCCCUCGCUACACUAGUGUAUGAGUAAGGUGGUUAGUAAUAUAAAAUAUAUAAAAUCUUGUAAGACCGAUAAUUUAUUUAAUCAUAAAAUCUUGUAAGAACUUAUUUAAACCUAAAGUGUUUUUGCAAGUAACCGGCUCACAAAGAAAACCAAAAAAACGGAUAAACUUGAAAGUACUGAGAAUAUGUGGAUUGAGAAGACCGAGAACUUAAAAAAAGAAAAAGCUUUAAUAAUAAUCAAAUAACGCCGUUUUUCUUUUCAGAUUAAAAGAUUGGAGUGGAAUAAGACAUAAUAGUUAAUUAUUUAUUAGUAUUUAUGUUUCUAUUUGUUAUAAUAAAAUAAACAUUUAUUUAAUAAAAUAUUACGAAAGAAAAAAAAUAAUGUCUUUAAACACAAAUCAUCUCCACUUAAAUUUACUUUCAUCCUUCUUAAUCAAAACAACAUCACUAAUAAAAAAAAUUGAUUCUCUCAAAUUGGGAGUUUUGAUUAACUCAAUUUAAUAAUGAGCAUUAGUAUCGAGAUCAUUAACUCACUAAUAUUAAAAACAUCACUAAUAUAACCAAUAUCCCUUUGCUUAAUAAGACCUGGACUGCAUGACUCCUGAAGGGCCCGAUAUCAAGGUUCAGAUACCCAUAUAAACUUUGUUCCACACCAAAUAACAUAUUAUAAUCUAAUCAUUCCUAUUUAUGGAUUCCAAGAAGGCUUUUCAACAUUAUAGAUAUUUAACACAAGAUAUUAUGUGCAUACUUUUUCAAACCUUUUUACAAUGACACAUGCUUUGGAAAAUAAUUACUAAUAUUACGUGUAAAUCACAUACUGCAAUUGUCAAUUAAUUAACAAUUCCACUUGCUCAUAAAACAAUGCAUCUUAUGAUCCAAACGUCAUUUUGAAUGUUUAAGCGUAACGUUAAGGCCACGAACACGUAUUACUUAAAUAAUAAAUUCGCUAUAUAUUUUUUAUACACUGUUAAUUAUUACCUUAAACAUAUCAAGAAAAUCAUUAAACAUAUUCAUGGUUAUUUUUUAAUUAUUUUGAAAAAAAGGUAGUAGUGCUUUAAAAAAUGAUCGAAAAUUGGUAAAUAGAAAGAUGGUAACUAAAUAUGAAUUAAAUUGAGUAAAAUGUUGUAUUGAAGUGAGUGUGUAGCUAAUAAGAUUAAAGAGGAGAGGAGGUGGACCAAAGGCAGCGGAGAUAUAGUCAAAGAUGUCAUGGUUGAAGUUUUGUGAUGGAUGGGUUUUUGAAGGAUGACGAUGAAUAAUACGUCAAAUCAAAACGUGGCACAUGUGAGUUGUUUUAUAUUUUUUGCCCCAAAUUGAUUGCGAGAGGGAAAUAGAAAUGGAAGAUGACAUUGAUAAAUGGUAAGUAAGGAAAGCAAAAAGGGAUUGGUGACACUGCACAUGUUAAGUUUCAAACCAUCCAUACUGAAAGAGCUUCUUCUUCUUCUUCCCUGACAUGAUCACAACCUCCAUUCACUUUCAGUCAAAAACCUUUUAAUUAAAAUAUUCAACCACUCUCUUCUCAUCAUUGCUUUUACGUUCAAACCAAACAAAUAAUUAAUUAAUGGCUUUAAACUCCAUCUAAUUAAUUAUGUUGAAGCAUGUUUGGAUUUAUUAUUAUAUUUUUCUGUUGAAAGUUGAAACCAACGUCAUGGCAUGUGAUGUUUGGGGGCACAGAAGAAGCACAUAGUAUGUGAAAACCACCAACAUAUACAAAACCUAUCUUCAAAACUAUUGGGAUCUUUUCCCUCAUUCAGAAACACAUCACACGCCUCCAGAUUCCUUCCCCAUUCUUCCACGCUUUCUGUGACAGCUAACCCAAACCAACACCUUUCCUUUUCUCAUUCUACUUUCUUCCCUACCAUCUCUAUCAACACCCCCUACUUAGUACACACUGCAUUAUUAAUUUUCCUAAUUAUGAAUAUCACCUCACCUCUAUUUUUAUAAAUGCAUCUCUCCUUCAAACACAUACACACACACUGUCUGUCACACCUUCUUUCAAUAAACAUCCAUGCAUUUCUCUAAAAUUAAUAAAAUACACACAUUUCCAAACACUAAACCGCUUCGGUUUACACUUUUGGUGUACCUAAAAUUAAUUUCACCCACAUUUCAAUUCAAAUCAAUAAUUUCAAAUUAAUUUCAUUAAUUACGGUUUUACUCACCUUUAACAACCAUUAAAGUUUAACUGUGCCAACAAUAAUUAAAGGAUUUGACUCUGGGGAAAAAAUGCAGCUAAAGUAAACGAGAAGAAGCUAGACAGUACUUUGAAUUACAUCCCAGAACCGUAGCUCAUUACUACCACGGAUAAAAGUAUAACCGCGUUAAAAGUCAACCAAAAUGUCAUUUUGAAUUGGAAGAAAUAAAUCAAACGAAGGAGAAACAGUGGAGAUUGGGGGAAAACGGCAUAAUUUAUACAUACAAUUAAAGCAGGAUUAUUCCCUUCUCUCAUUAAGCAUUACAAAUUCUGAACGGAUCUCUCUAACCGGCAUGAAUGGCAAUAAUAAAACAGAAAUUAUAUAAGAAUCUUACAGAAAAUCCGAAAAGGGGCAAUAAUAAAUAGAAGAAAGAGAAGCGAUUCAAGAAGCAGCGGUAGAAGAAGAAGGAGAAGGACCUGAGGCUCUGGGAGAGGUGGUGGGGAAGAGAGGGAGCAGGCGAGGUUCGGCGUCUCUGGGAGUAGAAGCGGGAGAAGGGUGCAAGAAGAAACCCUUCUCCUUAAUGGCUUUAUCUUCGGCCUCGGAGUCCAGGGAAGGGGGCGCGUUGGAUCGGUCGAACGGGUCGGGUAUGAGGGGUGUGACGGGGCUCAGGACGAGUGCGGGGAAGUCGAGGAUGCUGGGGGAGAGCAUGUCGGGUUUGCGAGGCGAGAAAAACGAGGUGAGGGGGUUGAUGUUGAGGUUGUUCUUGAGGGAGUUCGUCCUCCGCUCGUACAGCUUGAACUGCUGCUGCUUCUUGUUCGGAACGGAUUUCAUGGGCGGGAUGCUGUGGGUCGGGUUGGCCGCGGGUUUCGAGGAAGCUUGUUUCGCUGUCUCCGAGGAGCCUGUCAGCAUUUGGACUACUUGCUUGAAGGAGGACGUGUCCGCUUGGACGAACGUUGUCGGGUACGGGCUUCCGGGUUCGGAUCUAGCGACGGCUUUGGGAGAUUGCAGUCCCUGCCAUGGUUUGUGAUUGUCUUGGUGUCUCGGGGAUAUGGAAUGAUUGGAAUCCAUGGCUGAAAUGAGAGAAAAACAAAAGGAAGACGAAAAAGAAAUAGAUGAGUGAGUAGACAAAAGUGAAGACUAGAUGAGACUUUUUUAACUUUGUUUUAUUUCGUUUAAGAAAAAAUAUGAAAUGUGUCGUAGAGACCUUAGAUUCUUGAACUUCGGUCCCUACGCGCUAUCUACUGCUUGUGUGCUACACUGCACUGACAGUGAUUACUCAUAAUACAUUGUCUGCACUUUGUACUCUACUAAAUAUGUGACAUGCAAUAUUAUUGGAAACUCUUUCUUUUCCUUCACAAUAAUUAAUACAUGUGUGUAUUCAUUUGCAUAUUAUCAUCUCCUUUUCUUCUAAAUUUCAAUUCACCAAACUAAACUAUUUUAUUUUAUAUUCAUUAAGACUAUUAUUAAAUUCAUUUACUCAUCAAAAUUUAUAUUUCCUAAACUUCUUUCCUUCUAUCCUAUACUUUUAUUGAAGCUCCUGUUCAAACUUCAGUUUAUAAGUAUUUUUUAAAAUGAUAAUGUUAAGUUGAUCCAAAUUCAUUAAACAUUGACAUAUUUUAUUACAUUUGACUACAAAUGAACAUUUAAUAGUAGAAAGACUUUUAUGGUAAAUUAUACAUUUAUAUUAAAUUAUGUUUAAUGUUAUAUCUACGUUAAGACAAAUUUUCAGAGUUAAUUUGUCUGGUUAUAGCACAAUUUAUUGUAGGAACUGCAACUGAAACUAUUUUUUUAUCAUAUAUCAACUAUAUUUGAUAAGUUGAAAUUGAAUUUACUUAAUUUAAAAACAAAUUAACUGCCUUUGUAUUUUACUUCAAUUUAAUAAAAUUUAAAUAAAAGUAUUCAUGUCGAUCUGUGUCUCUGUUUUUGGUAAAGAAAAUAUUUAUGAAGCAUGUAUCAUUAGUUGUCUUUUUACUUUUAUAUAUUUAUUAUUAAAAUACACCAUUCAUUGUUUGGUAUAAAGAGGACAGUGAAAAGAAAGGAAAUAAAUGGAGGAAAAAAUAUGUCCUCUCUCAUUUUUCUUUGUAUUCUUCUCGGAUAUAUUAAGUUUUUUUAUACUUUAAUGGAAUCGAAUAAAUAAUAUAAAUUUCUUUACUUUUCUGAUCUUUUUCAUACCAAACACUGACAUGAAUCCUCUACAUCCAAUGUUUCUUCGGGUUGUUAUCUUACAAUGCCCUUUUAAAAUAAAUUUUAGAUGUUAAUAUAUGUUUUUAAUUUAAUUUAUAACUUUUAAAUGAGUUAUAUUUUUCAUUGUUGAGAAUUUUUUUCUGAAGAUAAUGGAAAAAGGCCAAAGAUUUAGAAUAUAUCAAACCUUCUUAUGUUACAAAUUGUAUUUUAAUGAUUGACUCGAAGAAAGAAGGAAAAAUAAAUGUAUACAGUCAAGUUAGAUUUGCUAAAGAAAUUUAUAAUAAUUUAUUACUUCUUAUGGUACGACUAAUUAGUUAAUAGAAUUAUGGUUUUGGAAUUCAUGAAAAUCCAAUUUUUCCAGUUAAAAUGUUAAUAAUACUUUCCCAAAAUAACAAAUUUUAGAACGAAUUCACAAUUUUUCUUUUCUUUUUUUCUUUUAUUUUCAACAACAAUGACCGUUGGUGCCCAAAAGAAACGUUUCUUGAAUAUCAAAAUAUCACUUUGAUAUUUUUAUAUUAUUAUACUUAAAAUAAUAUAUUUAUAUUUGAAUUGCUUUCAAUUAAAAUGGUUUAUUUUCUCAUUAGUGACUAUAAAAUCCAACAUGAAAAAGCAACUUAAAAAUAAAUAAUUAAUGCACUUUUUCUUUAAUGUUUGAAAGAGAUAACUAAAAAUACACUCGAUAAAUUACGUUAAGAAUUUCGUGAAAUGAUAUAAAUUUUCUCAUAGAAAUACACAGUUACAAAUAUCUUUUCAACAAUAAAAUUAAUUAGUAUAUUAUAAGGAAUGUGAGUGUACUGUAAAAGUUAACUUAGUAGUAAACAAACAAUUGUAUACAACUAGUACUUUUUUUUUAAGAACAUCGAUUUUUGUUUUUAUUAUAAUUAAAAUUAAAUUAAGAAGUUAAAUAUAAAUAUUAUAUUUUAAAUUAUAUUUCGUCUGAAAAAUUAUAUAAGUCAGUUAAUACGAAUUAAAAAUACAAUAAUAAAUAUAGAAAUAUAUCAUUAACAUUUUAAAUUAUUUUGAAAUAUAUAUAUAUUUAUAUAUGUACAAUGGACUCACGUGUUAGAAAAUUAUUUUUAUAUAAUUAUAUUUUCUUUUUAGUUUUAUAAUUCUAAUAUUAAGAUGCUCGAAAAUUAUCACUUAAAAACUUGAUUUUUAAUUAAAAUGUGAUAAAGCCUAAACCUUAAAAAUCUACAACCUAACUUGAAAAAAAAAAGAUUGUGAAAAAUUACUAUACACUGUUUAAAGUCAUAGAGAGAACUGCUAGCUAAUAGUUGCUGAUGAAAAAUCAUCAUUUAAUUUUCUAAUUUCACCAUGUUAUUUGUACUCGAAAAUUAAGCAAUGUAAUAAAAAAAUAAGGAAAAAUAAGUAAUGCAAUAAAAAACGAAGGAAAAACAAUUAUUUAUUAGACAAAAAGGACAAAAUACUGUAUAGUCAUAAACUUUAGUAUGUCAAAUUUACAUAUCAGCGUCAAAACAAUUUUCUUUUAAGAAAGAUAAUUAUUUGAUAUACCUACAAUUUUUACAUUUGAAAAUAUUUUUCUUUAUUUAUUUUUCUUUUUCUUUUGAAAAAUAUAAAAAAUUAUAGUUAUUUUAAUUUUGCAGUUUGUAUCAAAUGAAUGUAAAAAUAUAAUAUUAUAUAUAACUCUUUUUUAUUAUUAUUAAAGGAAAAAAGAAAAACAACAAACCACAUCAUAAAAAGAAAAAAUUAGGACUUAAUCUAUGUAAUAAGCUUAAGCAACAAAUGAUGGAAGUACUUAGCCUUCGACGGUCAUGAACAUUGAACUCGUAUUCAUAUAUAUAAUAAUUUAUAUUAUACGUCACUCAUUAAACUCGUAUUCAUAAAUCUAAUUAUUGAUAAUGAUAAGAGAGGUUUUUUAAUAUUCAAUGGUCAUAAACAUUUUUUUUUUAAAAUCUUAUUUAAAUUUUUGUAUAAUUUAUCGAACUAAAUUGUUUCCUAAAACAUGACUAUUGAAAUGAAAAAAGAUAUUAUUAAAUAAAAUUGGUAUCCUUUGAAAACUGAACCAAUAAUUGAACCGGUGAAAUCAUCGUUUUAGGAUUUAUUCGUCUAACCAAUAUGAUAAUAUAACUUAAUAAUACUAAAAGUAAAAAUAAAAUAUUUUAUACGUUUCUAUCAUAUAAAAUGCAUAUAAAAUUCAAAUAUAUGAAUGAUAAUAUUUAGGAUUAAGGUUAACUAACACAUAAUACUGUUCAUUGAAAAUAUUAAGGUUUUUUUGAAAAGAAAGUGAGAAAUGUUUUACUUUUUUAUUUUAAAAAAUGAAAAUAACAUUUGAAAAUAUUUGUAUAAAAAAUAUUGUUGAGUGACUUUGGAUCCAUUUUGUCUUUUUUUUUGGGGACCACUUAAAUCGGAGAGCGAUUUUGUAGUUAUAAUAGGCUGAACAUUAAAUUAUUUCACCAAUUUUCAAGUUAACGGCCUUAUUCUAUUAUGACGACAAAGAAAAUAUUAUUCUUAAAUUAAAACAUAUUAGAAGAUUGUUUUGGACUUUAAACAUCAUUUUAUCUUCAAAUAAUAAUAAUCAUUCAUACAUUAAAAACAUUCUAAAUUAAUAAGAACAGUAUUUUUAAUUUUUAAAACUUAAAUAUAAUUUUGGUGUAAAAAAUGUUUGAUCUCACUUCUCAUAAUUUUUUCUCUCAUUUUGAUUCACAAAUAUAUGAAAUGUCGUGUUGACUCUUAAUAUCAACAGUAUUAUAUUUGAGAGACAUUUAUCAAUGUGACAUCUUAUAUUAGUAUAAACAAACUACUAGUAUAUACAUCCAUAUUAGAAUAUAAAACAAUUUCAAUUUAACAUAAAAAUAAAUUAAAAAGUGUAAGUGAAAAUAUUUUAGCAAAUAACAAUUUUAAUAAUAUCCUAUGAUAUUCCUUGUUUUCUUUUAAAAUAACUGAUAAGAAGGUAGAAAGGUAGAGAAAGUAAAGACACGCGUGUAUAGUGAGUUGCAUUUGAGAGGGUAAAGGAUUGAAUGCUGUGACACAUAAAGUAAAAAAAGAGUCAAAAAGGUAUUUAAUAUUUGGCAUUGACUAAUAUAAACCAAUAAAAAUAAUCUUCAUAAUAUCUUUGUCAUAUCCUCUUCCUUUUUCUCCUUAUAAUCUCCAAAUAUAAUUAUAACAUACACACUUUAGUCAAGGAAAAAUUCCAUACCAAAAUGGUAGUUUGAUAUUAGAGUUACUUUUUCCCCUUUUAAACGCAUUCAUCUCAGUCUACUUCUUUUUCAAUUUUAUGGUAGUAACGUAAAUUGGAAAUAAAAAAUUACAUGAGUCAGUAAGUUCUACAUAAAUUUAAUUUGAUAAUAAAAAGGUUUUAAUAUAAAGUAUAUAUUAUCUCAUGUUCAAAUUUCAUUUAACCUAACUAUAUCGAAACUAUUAUAAGAAAAUUAAAGACAUUAAUAUUUAGAGAUUAUUAAUUGUCUGCAGCUGUUAAGAAUCCCAAGAGCAUCAUCUAAUUGGGCCGAUAUUAGAGUUCUUGGUCCAGAUUUAGAAAUAGAGUAUUUCAUUAUACAAGUAUAAGCAUUUAGCUUUCAACCUCCAAUUUCUUAAAAUCUUCUUAAUUAAUAAGUGGUUUAAAAUUUUAAUUUUUGUAUUAUUGAAAAUUUCUAUAAGCACCAUUGAUUUCAUCUCCAUUUUACUCCAAUCACCAAAUAUUCAUUCCUACACCCUACACCCUUGCAUCUACACCCCAUUUCAUAUUUGUAUGUUUACAUUAUAUACUUCUUAUAUUAGUUUAAUUUUUUUUAAUACCUCUUAUAUUAGUUUAUUUAUUUAUUUUAAUUUUAUGAAUGAGUUUAUAAUGUAUUAUGUAAUUUCUAAUUAAUGUAAAAUAAUUUUAUGAAUGUAUUAAAACUAAUCAAAUUAAUUUUGAAUGAGAAAAAAAUUAAAAUUAAAAUAUCAAAUAUGAGAAUUCGAAUAUACUAAAAUCGGAUGUGAAUAUUAACUAUUCUGGUGUGGACAUCCGACUAAUGUUUACUAAUUUGUAUAAAAGUUUCAUAAUAUUUUUUAUUUAAUUAUUUUUUUACGGAAGAAAUCUAAUAUUUUUGAAAAAAAAAACAAAAAAGCUUCAUAUUAUAAAAAAAUAAAAAAGUUCAAAACAAUUGAAAACAAAAUUUAAUGAGUUUAACUAAUUCCUUAAUAUAUUAUUUGAAAUAAAUAAUUAUACAUUCUAUAAAAUUUAUUAUUUCAUUGAAAAUAAAUAAAUUUAAUUCAAAUAUUUAUAUAAAUAAAUCAAUUAUUAAAAUAUAACAAUUUAAUUAAAAUAAAAUUCAAAAAUAAGAUUACCCAAAAUUGAAAUAAAUCAUUAAUUAAUUAGUAUAAUUAAUUAAUUAACAUCCAAAAUAACUUUAAAAAAAUUAAACAGAACAUUAAAUGACAAAAGAUAUAACUGCUACUAAACAUUAAAUACGAUCUACAUCGGAUGAUGCAGACUCAAUCGGUUAUCGAUAUCCGAUUCAGUCCUAUCGUCUCUCCAAAUCCGAUUGCAAACCACUCUUCUACCAUCUUUCAUUACGGUAUAAAAAAAUGUCAGAACACACCAAUGCUAUCAAACACAAUCAAAUGCUUAAAAAACAGUAAGACAAUCAACCGUAUGGGUGGUUGCAAGGAGAAAACGAACUUCAACUGAACACAAUGCUCAUGUUUGUGUGUGACUGCAAAAUGCAAUUAAAGUCUGAAAGUGUGCUCCGAGAACGGAGAAAGGAAGACGAAAGUGAAAGGGAGAGGGAAGUGCAACAAUGCCUGAACGGUCGUCUGUGUGCAAAGUGAUAUGCGAGGAUGGAGAGAAAAAAAGCAUACCAAGAGUGAUGUGUGCUGUGUUGUGCGAGAAUGGAGAGUAGUGUUAUGAGAGGCAAGUAGAGAGAGAGAUAACUCAAUAAUGAGAUGCAACACAAAAAUGAGAUGCAAGAGUGAAGCUGUCUGCAUGCACUGCUGCUACAAAAGAAUUUUUUGACCACUUUAAUUAUUUUGAGUAUUCAAAUCAUUUUAAUUACAAGGUAAGUUUGGUAUUUUGAAAAAAUUUGGAGAUACAGAAUAGAAUGUUUGGAGGUGCGGGUAAAACCCUCUUAGAAAUAUCUUCUAGAAAAUUCAAUCUAAAAAAUAUUAGAAAUAAAAGGUGAAAGUACUUUUAUUAUAUUUUUAAUGACAGGUAAUUUGGGAAUAACACUUUUAUGGCAUAGGGAAUAGGGAGAAAAACAAAAGGUGCACGAAGAAGCACCAUAAAUUAAAAUAAUUACUAGCAAUGAAAAAAGCGAGAAAACAUUAAUUAACAAGAGUCUGGUUAAAAGAUAUAAAACUAAGUAUAAUGAUUUAAUCUUUGAAUAUAUAUAUAUAUAUAUAUAUAUAUAUAUAAUAAUAAUAAUAAUAAAACAUUCAAGAAAUAUUGUUAAAAUAUCAUUAUCUAUUCAAUUUUCUCUAUUCGAGUUCCCAAUUCGUGUUUCACAUGGCAUAAAAGAUCGUAUAAUUGUAUCAAACAAAUUACCAGAUAUAAAGCAUGUAUGAUUGUAUCAAACAAAUUACCAAAUAUAAAGCAUGUUUUUCAUACUACUUUGGUCGAUAGAUAGAAUAUCUCUAUCAAACAAAUUACAAGAUAGCAUGUUUUUUAUGCUAAUUUGGUCGACUUUAGACCGCACGAUGACACACUAAACUUGCCAACCUGGAAACUUGUAAACCACAAUAAUUUAGAGCCCAAUUGAGCGUAUCACAAUUUAGAAAUUUGGUGAUUCCAUUUAAAAUGCUAAGGUCUGUUACUCAUAAUCCGUUGUAGCAUAGAAAAAAAAAAACUCAAAGUUCGGAUUGUAACUUUUGGUUCAAAGAAGUUAAUUGCAAAAUUUUGGCCGACAAAGAAAGUGCUAUUCUGAGCGUGAUCUGAUCCCAAAUGAAACGCCAUCACCUCCCAUACACAUCUGACCUGCACCGACCCCAAGAAACACACCUCAUCCAUGAGUAAAUACUAUUAACCGAAUACAAGCAUUGAUUAUCGAUCAACAACAUCUAACGACUUCAAAUUGCAAGCAUUGAUUAUCGAUCUACAACCAUUUAAUAUACUAAAGCCGAAUACAAAAUGACAACGAAAUUAGAAAGUAACAUAUGAUACUUCAAUUACCACUUUUCUAAUAAUUAAGUUUCACUCGAAAGCAACACACAAUUUCCUUUUCCAAACUCAGUUUAUAAAAUGAAAUCGAUUGAAACUUAAAUUUGACAACUUUGAUACAAACAAUCACUAAGAUGGCCGCAGAGUCAUCAGUAAAAAUUAAUUGAACUUGGAAGGCUGAGGUUUAUAGCAUGAGAAAGUAGAGGUCAGCACGACAAAAACCAAGGCUUAGGAAAACAUUUUAAGUUGUAACAAGGUAACAUACAGGACUAAAAAUGUCAGUCUAAGGGAUAGUCUUGACAACGUCUUAAAUGUAUAACAGAUUGCCGAACCGUUAUCCUCAUUUCAAGAGAUUAAAUCGAAUAAGUAAAGAUGCAUAGAAAGCUCCUACCAGUAGAAUCCCAAAUGACCCGUACCUAAGGAAGAUUUAGAAUUUUAAUCAUUAGGAAUUCAUGAAAUUUUCUUGUUUACACGACAAAGGUAUUUCCAAUACUCAACCAACUUAAACGCAGCAGUCCGAUACUAAUACCAGCAAUGUGACUAUAAUAUCUUUGAAAAUUACUAUUUGAAACAGGAACAUCACAAGGAAAUCAGGCAAUAGAUACUUCGAUAAUCAAUAAUAUCACAUAAAUAAUGAUAAGGAAUAAUAGCAAUGACUAGAAAACUCUAUUAUAAAGCAAGGCUAGCAUACUACUAUUACAUCCAAAACAAAUACAAAAAUGCCAUAUAUCUUCGUAAUAAGCAAUUAACCAAGAAAAAAAAAUUUGAUCUUGAAAAAAGAGUCGGAGAACAGAGUACGCAACUUCUUAACCCCCAAAAAUAGGGUAUGAAGUAAAUUCAAUUACCUCUCAAGCUUGAACGUCUAUCUGCUUAUCUUCCACAUCAUUGGUGGUACCAGUUUCUGCCUCCUCAGUACCCUCCGCCGGAGGCUGAGCUUGCUCAUCCUCCGGAAGUGGCUCCUCCACAUAGUCAUUUUCAAACGCAUCAGCCGGAACCUCAUAAAUCCUAACUUGAGGCUUGGACGGAUCCUUCACAAGGACAUAUUUUCCCUCGUUCAAUUUCAUGCACAAAUCAACUAUAGACUUCACAAUACCCCACAUAUUAGCAGUAUUCAAAUUGAUCUGUGCUGCAAAGUCCCUGGGCUUGUACCCUACCACAGCCAAAAUCACAUGAUUAAAAUGAUCACGGGGAUGAAUCCUAGACACAUACCCCAACUUCAUCAUAUCUGCGCUAGCCAAAAGAGCCUGAGCAGUCCACUUAGCCAACUUAUUCGCAUUGUUUUUAAGCUCAGUGGCCAACACGGCACCCCUCUGAGUCUCCAACUUCUGCCUCCAAUCCACACCCGAAUACUUAGGAUCAAACUCAUUUAAAGCAUUCAAAGUAAGGAAGGACCGCUGCUUAUUCACAUCAACAACACUGUGCACCUCACACCUCGCAACAAGAUACAUAUCAUCAUCAAGCUUCCACCUCCUAUACCUAUAAGCCACAGAAGCAACCUCCUCACCCUCAUUAGCAAAAGGAUUAGCCUCAUCAAAAAUAACCUUGUUCCCAUCCCUGAUCAGAACCUGCUGCGAGAAAUUCUGGUUAAUAUAGGCAGCCUCAACGCUCAACGAAUGAGCAGAGUUAAUAUCAUCCUUAGCCUCAGGCAGUGGCUCCUGAGAGGUCUCGUGAACGGAAAGCAAAUCAAGCUGCGACCCAUCACGCUUAUCAAAGAAAAGCUUGUUCCCAACGCGCUGAACGACAAUAUCCCACGAAUAUACAGACCUUGGGGCACACAUGAGAGUGGAGAGAAUGGUGUCGGUGGCAAAAACAGUGGCUUUGUCCUCGUUCGCGAGUCUGCGUAUAACAGGGUCGUCAGUAGUGGUGACCUUGAAGAAGUUCCGAUUCUUGAAACGUUCCAGGCGGCGUUCGUUUUUGGGUGUGAUGCGAUCGUAGGUACGAUCGUAGUAUUCGAGAGCACCACAGAGGAGAAGGUCUUCAGGCUCGGGAACGGUGAAGGACAGUUUAGAGAACGUGGAGAAGGGGAUCUGGUCGUGCAUGUUCCAUUCCGGUUGGAUAUCCACAGAGGAUUUGAAAACAGCGGCUUCACGGCGCGGCGCAUUAGGGUUUGAGCGGUUCAUGUGGUAUAGCCUAUCGCGACGUGCGCGUUCCUUCUCCUGUUCGCGUUUUCGGGCUUCGACCUCCUCGUCGCGGCGCUGCGGAAGCUGACGCUGCUGCUGGAAACGCCACUUAGGGCCGAAUUUGGGGCGCGGUGGAGGCUUGCCAUCGACGAGGCGGAAUGAGGCGUCGUCAUCAGCGGAGGCCGGGAAAGAGUCAUCGUUGGUGAAGUCGAAGACGGAAUCAGCGGGGUUCUUGGAGCGGGUCGGGUUGUUGAAAUUGCGGGUCCAGUCCGCGAUGCGGCCCAAUUUGUCAGAACGGGAGAAGGGGGCGAAGGGGACGUUGAGAGGAAGGUUGCUGCUACCGCCGGCGGCCGCUGUUUCCGGUGGUCCCCACCCGUCGGAGUUGAACGGAACGGCUCCCACGUCGAAGGCUUUUCCCAUUGGCUCAAUGCGAAGGGUUGAAUCUGAGAAACAGAUUGGUGUGCUCAGAGAGCAGAAGACGAGUGAGAAACCCUAGUUUCGAAAGCAGCUUUUAUACAACUUUUUGUUACGUGUUUACCCUUACCAAUUCUUUUAUUUAAUUUUACUAUGUGUGGGCUGGGCUGGGCUGGGCGGGGAACUAAGAAACCCUUAGCUUUUCGGUUUUUACUUCCUGAACCCGCCAAUUUCUUGCACCUCCUCAAUUUUGGGAAAAGAAAUGAGGCCUCGUUCUCUCUUUAAAUUCCUCUGGCUAAAUUCAGAAAAAAAAAAAACUACUCAUGCCUCGUUUUUGUUUAUUUUUUUAGAAAUCUAUGUCGAACUUUAACAUCGUUUCGUAUUGAAAUCAUUUUAGAGUUCUUAGACUUUUUGAUGUAUAUGUAUAAGUCAGUAGCUAAUAUUGACUUGAGUUAGAGUAUAAUAAAUACACAUUCUAAAUAUUUUAAUUAUCUUAUUCAUAUUUUUUUUAUAUGCUAAAUAUUCUAUUAAAGGAUAUUAGAUAAUCAAUAUUGUGUUAGUUAUAAUUUAGAUAUUAUUUUAAUUUGUAUAGAUUUGUGUACCUGUCAGAUGAAAAAUUAUAGGAUAUUUAUAUGUAUAUAUAGUACUUUAUUCUUUGAAAUAAUACAUCAGAAUUAUUUUUUAAAUCUUUUAUUAGUUUUUGCUAGGGUUUUAUUUUUUCGCAGACUUAAUUAUUGAUCCAAUCACAUCAUAACCUUCAUUAUAAAAGUAAUUUGCGUAUUACAAUUUUAAUUUUACAAUCUUGUUUACUUAAUGGUUAUAGUUUUUGAGUGGUGAUAUUCUCAAUCAAACAAAUAUGUGUGUUAUGUAUUUUUGUGGUCAUGUAGCAUGUUCUGACAACCUUAUAAUAUUUGAAUUAAGGUUUUAGUUCAGUGUUAACUUUGACCAAAAAGACAUAAUUAGAAAUGUAAUAGGUUAGACACAAAUAGUACCUAUUUGCUUCCAAAGAAAAAAAAAAAUUGAGCUGAAUGUUUAUUUAAAAAGUACUUAUCAAAACAAGUCAGGUUAGACAUAAAUAGUUAUGUCUGCUUCCUAAACCAUAACAAAAAAAAAACUGACAUACUUCUUGCUAAAUAUUCAUUUAAAAAUACUUACAAUUUUUUUUAAAACUCGGUACUAUAAUUGAAUACUCACGAGUAUUUAAAAGAUAAUAAUUUAUAAUUUUUUAAAAUACAAUCUAAAUAAAAUUUUAAAAAUAUAAAAUAAAAUGUAAAUUUUAUUUUUUUUGUAGAUAAAUUAAUAUUGAUACGAGUAGUAUAUAGCAAAUAUGAUGAUGAUCAGUAAAACUCUAAAAAAGUCCUUACUGGACAUUAAAAUAACACAAAUUUCAAAUAUGAAGGUUAUCAACACAACUAAAAGAGGGCGUUUAUAGGCAAUAGAUACAAACCUAAAAAAAAUUAGUACUUUGAAAAUUUAGUCCUUAAUUAAAUCUCUGUAGAGAAAUUUCUGAAUUCACUCCAUCGGAAAACAUAGCAUAUUCAAUUUUAAUAAAUAAAAAAUGCGUGAGAAUGGAAUUUAUUUAAGCAAAUUAAUAACAUGAAAAAAUAAUUUAGCGAUAAAUUAAAUUAUAAAAACUGGUAAAAGCAUUAUUUAUUUUUCUUCCUUAGAAAUAGUUUACAGUAAUAUUGUAAGUCCAUUGGUUCACAAGGUCUGCCUGACACACUAAAAUAAGACAACUUUCCGUAAAACAUGGAGACAAGAAUCAGACCAUAUGCAUUUGCUUACUAACUCGCUCGUAAAUUGCAACUCUAUUUUGUAUUCUCUAUUAACUCUCAUAUUUAAUUGUGGAGUAAAUAUCUAUGUUCAUUCCUGAGUAUUUUUCAUUAUAUGAAUGAUCAUUUACUUAUUAUAUUUCUUUUAUGAAUAUUUGAUGUAAAAAUACAUUUCUUUUAUAUUCGACGUGAAAAUAUACAUAUAUAAAUAGAUUAGUUUGUUCAUACCCAAGGCAUUCAUCACCAAGACAUUCUUUCAGAACUAAUUUAGAUUUUUUUUUUUCAAUCUUAAUUUAAAAUACAGCUGGCAUUACAAAUUUAUAUUAUUCUUGAAAAUACAUAUACAUAGAUUAGUUUGUUAAUAACUUAUUUAAUGAAAAUUUUCUAUCAAUGGUUCAUCACCAAGACAUUCAUUCAGAACUAAAUUAGAUUUUUUUUUUUAAUUUUAAUUCAAAUUACAACUGGCAUACCAAAUUUGCGCAUCUUAAAACUUGGUAAAAGCUAAAGCUGCGCCUUCCAUCUUUGGGUUGAACAGAUGGAGCAAAAGGACAGACAGAAAAAUAAAACACAAAACAUAAAUAAAUAAAAACCACGAGGAAGGAUUAAAAAAAAAAUCUAUAUACAAAUGAAACAGAUGAAAAACUGAAUAUAUAAUAAUGAAAAUUUAAAAAGCACAGUAGCUAGACUCGUAGAUGAAGUUCUUUAGCCUCUCAGAUAUCCUGGCAGCUCCGUUGGCAAAUUUCUCGUCCUGAACAAUGCAUUCAGACUCAGUUUAUCGGAAAAAUUAUCAUAUGAUUCGACAUGUUUUUAUCAUUAUUAUGGUUUAUGGUUUGAGACUAUAUUCAUAAGAAUCUCCCCAGUUGCAUGUAUGGAAAGGAAAGAUGAAAUCUGAGCUCACCUGAUGACAGUGUAUUGAAUGGAAAACUGCAUCUUCGAUAACAUUAUAACUGGCGUUAACAACAUCUAAUCCUUCUUCAUGAAGAACACGAAUGGUUUCACUGAACAUGAACUGAGAAUCCAACCCAGUUAUUAGAACAACCUCUAAGGUUGAACCCAUCUGUUGGAUCUCAAUCCGUGGAGAUUUAAACCCUACUCUCUCUCCUCUUCCAUUCAUGCUCACAUUUGCUCUUUCUAUUCCUAGUAGCUUGUUCUUCUUCUUCUCCAUUUUCUCCAUAUUCAUCUGUAAUUUCUUUAUGUAGUUUGUUGCUUCUUCUAGCUGAUCCGGCAGUGAAACCGCCUACAACAGAUUUAAAUAAAAACAGUAAUAUAUAUGGAAAUAGAAAUAUAAUUCUUUAAUAUUUGAAGAGAAAUGAGAAAAUAAGAAGAAAAUCGUUUAAGUCAAUCUCACAAAACUGAUUAUUUCUCUAGUCGAUCGAUGUAAGACUUCUAGAAGGAGUGGAGUGAAAAAUGGGAAAACCUUUGAUGUUUGAUGAGGCACAAGUGAGUUGAGUUUGCGGAAGAGAGUCUUCAUUUGAUUUCUUCUGUUCCUCUCAAUGAAUUUUCUAUCAAGUCGAGAUGGACUAGGGUUGUUCUCCAUAUCAGUAAGCAGGAGAUUGGUGUGGUAAUUUCAAAUGGUGAUUCCCAUGAAAAAGGAGAACGCUUCUGAUAUAAUGAUGUGAAUUGUUUGGAAUCGUUAAUGUCUUUUUGAAAAGCAAGAUAAUAUUAUUAGAUGCUGCUGAUCAAAGUUCAGAGAUUUGGAUGGAGGUGAGGACUCUUUGUGGUGGACCCAGCUAGCUUUGGCUAUGUCUUAAGUUUCACUGUUUCUUUUCCUUAAUAAUGAAAUUUUGUUUCUUCAACACUUGCAUUUUUUGUCACACAAACACGAUUGGAUCAUGGGACACGUUGGUCCCUACCUAAAGAAAUUCAUCACAUGGUGAACCACAUUUUCCUUCUAUCAAAUGUAUCUAUACACUAUACACACUUGAGUCUUUGAACAAUAUGUUAAAUGAUUAGUGACAUUACUUGUAAGUAGAUUUUCAUUUAGGAAGUAUAAAUCUAAAUUUAGGUUGACUUUAGAGUACAAAAUCAUUCAUCUUUGGGGACACUUCCUUUUAAGAUUGGAUAUUAAUAUGAACUCAGUCCAUAUAAGUCACUAUCCUUAUCUCUAAUUUAAAAUCUUAAAAAACAGAGUUAUGAGUUUUUUUUUUUUUUUAUCAUGUUUAAAUUUCUUAAUUUUUUAAUAUACCGUUAAACUUAUAAUUAAAGAAGUCCGAUAAAAAAGUAUAUGAUUAUUCAUAUUUUAUAAUGUAUUUAUAUUUCUCAUUCUUCUCUCUUUCUUUUUAAAAUAAUGUAAUUCUCUAUUAUAUAAGUUAAUUAACAUUGCAUUAAUAUUUAAUCUUUAUAAUAUUUAAAAUCUAUAAGUAGCAAUUAGACUGUCAAAACGGGUAACCCGGCUCGAUUAGGUCUGGCAUACCAGGGGUUGAUCACUUAGUGAGUCAAUCCAAUCCAGCUCAUUUAUUAGCGAGCCAGAAAAAUCUGAACCCGUCUCGAACCAUCACAAGUUGGUGGGUAAACGGGUUGACUCACUAGCCCAUUUAAUUACAAUUUUUUUAAAAUAAAAAAAUUACAAACUUUCUAUAUUCAAAUUUAAACAACUUUCACCCCCAAAAAAUGCUGUUAAAGUGAAGACAAAUUCAAAAUAAUAAUAAAAAGUAUAAUAUAAUCUAAAUGUCAUCCAAAAACAAAUACAAAAAAUAUACAAAAAAACCUGCUCCUUGAAGAAAUUCAGUGAAAAAGUGAAAGUGACAACACUAUAAAUGAGAGCAAGUUUCGGAGGAGAGAGUGAUUUGUGAGAGCGAAGGUUACUUUUUUUUUGUAUACACUGUGAGGUGAAGAGAGUAUUUUAUUUUUUAGGAUUUCAUAAAUAAAAUAAUAAAUUAAAAAAUAAAAUUAGCUAGGUGGGUUGGCGGGCCAACUCGACCUACCUCGGGUUCAAUCCGCAUAAGUCAGGUUGAAAUUUGACCCGCGUAAAAAGAAUUCAAUUUUUUCAAACCCAACACAGCCCGAAUCCGUGGUGAGUCGAGUUGGCUUGCGAAUUUUAAUCUAUUUUGGCGCAUCUAGUAACAAUUAUAAAAUAACAUGUACUCACACGAAAAUCAUUAAUGAAUAUUUGUCAUAAUGAAUAUAAAUAUUUAAUUGCCUUGAUUAAGCGGGUGAGGAUAACAGAGGGAAGACAUGAUAUCGGCUAAUAAUUAUUUCAAUAAAUUUUAAUUAAUUUGUUUAAAAAAAUUUAAAUGAUUGAAAUAAAAUUAUAUUAGUAAAAAAGAUAUUAAUUAUGGAAUAAUCAUUUAAAAUUUGAUUUUAUAUAUUUAUAUUUUUUAUUAUUAAAACAAAGAUAUUAAAGUUAUUUUGUUAAAUAUUAAUUUUUUAUAAUUUAUACUUUUCACAACUCAAUUAAUUUUAUAAAAAAAAAAAAAUUAUCUGUAUUUAUUUUCAUUUCAUUUUAUAUUUAAAAUAUUUGACUUUAAAUUUUUUAAAAAUAAAAUAUAAAAAUAUAUGUAAAUAUCUAUGGAUAUUUGUAGAUAUGAAAAACUUUACAUGUAUGUGUUUUCACAUAUAUCGCAAGAGUAAUAGAACGAGUAAUAAGACAUGUUUUUUUCAUAUGAAACAAUUAGACAUUAUUCAUAAUCCAACCUUUUAUCAUUUCUAUUUAUAAGUGUCAUAAAGUUAGAUAGAUAUUCUAAAUCUUAAAAAUAAUAAUACAAGUCUAUGCAACAAUGUUUUUUAAAUAUUUAUUAUAGAUUUUAUAUCUAUUAUAAGUGAAAACUUUUGCAUAAGAUUGAGUUAUAUCUAAAAUACGUUUAUAUAUAUUAUCAUGAAUUAGUUUUAAGAUUGAAUGUAAAAAAGAGGAGAUGAAUGUUGAGAGAGUUAACUCCGUAACAUUAACCAGAAUGCAUGGAUUUGGCAUCUGAAAUACAAGUUUCACAUUUUGCCGUGAUAAGUGCAUGAAGGGUUACGAAAGGUGAAGAACUUGAGUUCAAAUUAGAGGACUUUCUUAGUUGAAAAAAUGUGUAUAGAUUGACGGUUGGGACUAGAUGAGGGAAACACGAGGGAAUUUUUUGAGACUUUCAAUGGGCCACCUUCUGAUUUUUUUCAUCAGAUUAUGUGGUUGGAAGCCGAACAUCGUUUGUUACUUCGAAAAUAAAGUUGUGGUUGUCAUAUAUCAAGGAGUAAUACUAUCAUGACACAUUUUUACAUUCAUUUGACACAGAUUAUAAGGAUAAAAUGAUCUAAAAAAUAUAAAAUUUUAUAAUUUUUCAAAAAACAAAAAAAUAAAAAGUAAGUAAAGUAAUAUCAAAUGAAUAUAAAAAAAUUUAGAUAUAUCAAAUAAUCAUUUCUCUAUGUUACAAGAGAAGCCGCAUUACACCAAAACUAACAAAAAUGUUAUUUUAAUAACUUCUCACAAUUGUUUUUAUAAUAAUUUAUAUACUAGUUCGUAAUUAAUCUUUUUCAAAUAUAUGAUAAAAAAUAAUGAUAUAUAAUUUAUUUUUGAAAAGUUAUUUACAUUUCAUAUUUUUAAACUAUGAUAUGUUACUUAUUCUUUUUAACAAUAAAUUAUAUAAUAUCAAAAUUAUAGAUUAAAACUUAUUAUAGACUAAAUAUAUGAUAUUAUUCACGGAACCAUUUAUGUUUGAUACUUAAUAUAUAUAUAUAUAUAUAUAUAUAUAUAUAUAUAUAUAUAUAUAUAUAUAUAUAUAUUUUAAAAAAUAAAAAAAUAUUAAAAAAUCUAUAUUAAUUAAAUAUAAAUGAAUUUUAUAAUAUAUAAAUAAAUAUAAACAUUACUUAAAAACUGAAUUUUAUAAAAUUAAAUUAAAUUUAAAGUUGAUUCUAUAACAUUCUUGGUUAAUCACUUUUUCAAAACAUAAUAAUUAACUUUUGUCUUAAAACAUUCAUUAACUUUAAUCAAUUUCCGAAAAUAGAUACAUUGUAUCAGACUAAUUAAAGAAGGGUAAAAAGAACUAUCUUCAAAUCAUGGUAUCUAGAAAAACCUAAAACUUGGAUGUGCAAAUACAUUUUAGUGAGAUGCGUAUUCAACGAAUGAAGCAAGGAGGAACAAAAGGUUAUUUUUAUUUGGAAUUUUUAAAUAUUAAAAAACUUUUAAUAAAAAAAAGUUCUGUGAUAUUCAUCAAAAGUUUUAAACAUUAACAGACAGCGGAAUUUGGUAGUAUUCAAAUAAGAUUAAAAAAAAUUAAAAACGUUUUAAAUUUAAAUACGUAUUUAUAUAAAAAUAAAAAUAUUUGUCACGAGAGACAUUAAAUAAAAUUCUAACUUAAUCAUAAAAACAUUCUCGGUGUUAUUUUUAAAAUUUUCUAAAAUGGAUCUCAUGAUUAUGUAUGCCAAACUAAAGAACCGCAAAUUUUUAUCUAUUUAAAAUUUUGAUGGUUGAAAAUUAUGUUUGAAUUUAAAUUUUUUAAGUAUUUAAAAUUGUAUUUAAUCAUGUUAUAUUCAUUACAAAAAUUAUAUUUUUAAUUGUAUAUGAUUUUGCAAAUUAUAUGUUGGUUUUGAAUUUUGUUAAGUUUCCAAAACUCUUAAUCAUAAUAUAUUUAUUAAAAAAUUAUUUCUGAUUGUAGUAGUUUUUUUUAAUAACAUUGACAUAGUUACUGAUUUAUUUUUCUACUAAGGUUAUAUUAUUAUUUUGUUAUAGAAUAUUACGUUCAUAUAUACUAGGAGCCGUGUUGAGUUUUAAAACUUUUUUAAGGUUCUUUAAUCAAAUUGUUUUGGAUUUUUUAAAAUUAAUAAAAUUGUGUAAUUAAAAAUUUAUUAAUUGAUUAUAUUAUAAUUUAAUUUUUGAAGUUGGAGAGUCGUUUAUUUUUCACAUUAUAGGUGUUUUUAAAAAAUUUGAAAAAAUUGUGACAUUUUGUAUUUUCAUCUUUAAAUUUUGUUUUGAAAAAGAUCUUUUUUUAUCAUUAUUACUUUCAAGUUUAUCGAAUAACAUCCAUAAUCAAUUAUUACAUUCAAGAAAUAUUGUUUACUUAUAAUAUGAAAUUUUUCGUUAUAAUUUUAUCAUUAAAAAAUGCAUCAAAAGAACUAUAUAUUUUAACUAUCUUUCUUAAAUGAUGUCGAAGUGUGAUAAAAACAACUUAUAAAUUUAUAACGAAAAAUAAUCUCACUUGCCACCUCUGCUGUUUAUUCUCAAAUAAUCUCAAUCUCUGAAUUGUUAAAUAAUAUAUUUUAAAAAAAUAAUUUAUCUUUUUAAUUUUUAGUGUUAAAUUUUUAGAACAAUAAAAUAUUAUUUUGAAAAAUCAUAUCAAAAUUAUUUUCCAAUUAAAAAACAUCAACACAAGAUAUAUUUUCACGACAUAAAGUAUGCUGAUUCAAUUCAGUGAUAAAAUAAUUUACAAUUAAAAAAUACGACUUAAAAUAGCAAAAUUUCGUUAAUUGACAGAUUUAAAUAAUAAAAUCAAUCCACAAUUGAAAUGGAAGAGAAUAAACUCAUCUAUGUUGAGAAAUUCUAUGUUCAGUCUACAAAUUUGAAUAUAUGGUACAGAUGAAAUUUUCGUUUGAUCUCAAUAUUAUUUCAGAUUCUAAAAUUAUUUCAUAUAAAACUAACAUUUUUUAUUUAAACGAAGAGCUCCAUAUAAUGUAAUGCGGAAAUAAAAGAGUUAAAUUAACUUCAAAUUUCUCCUUCUAUAUUAAAUAAAUUAUAAAAUUUCAAUGAUAAAAUAUUUUAUUAGAAAGUAGGUUAAGAAUAUCUUAUAAAUCAGAGAGUGAAUUCAUGAUAUUUUGUAUUUCUUGAUUGAGUUUUAACUUUAAAGAUAUCAAAUAGCAUUUAACUUUUACUGUUAUCAGUUAUAUCGGUCGAUGAAGUCAUGAGUAUGACGUCAUCUUUAUACGUAAUUCUUUGACCCCAAGAAAAUAGAAAAUCAUUUGUAUUUAGGGUUUCAAAUAGUUUAGUUUAUUCAACUAUACUUCUCCGUAAUAGAUUUUGAGUUCCUUAAAACCUAAUUUCAGAGUGUAAAUUUAAAAAUUAUAUAAAUUUUAAAAUUCUUGUAACCUUAACAGUUAUUAUUUCUACCUUUUAUUUUUUAAAGCACAUUGCAUAUUUCAAGAGUCAAAUUCCUCUCAAUAUGGGUAGUUCUUUUCUAUAUCACUGAUUGAUCCUUUUUAUAUAUAUAAUCAUGACAUUGGUCCUACUACUUUAAAAAAAAAUGUUUAUAUCAUUUUAUUAAAUUAAAAAUAAUAAUUUUUAAAUAUGUGUUAGUUACAUUAUAGAAAUGAAGUAAUAGAAGAACAUAAGAGAAAAACAAAUCAUAACAAAAAAAACAUAGAAGAUAUGUGAUUUGAAUAAAUAAAAUAAAAUAAAAAAGCAGUGAAAUUUUAUUUUUAUUUAUUUAAAUGAUUAAGAGAGAAUUAAAGUAAAUAGAUAAAAUUGUAUAAUAUUUAUACAAAUAAAAAAAUAUUAAAGCCUGUUUGUAGUUGGGUAAGACCGAAGUCACGGUGUGGCGUAAAACCAAAUCAACAAUACCAUAUUUUAUAGUUAUUUAAAUUACUUUAACUCAAAUAUAAGUAAUAAAGGAAAAUAAAAAAUAUUCUAAAUAUAAGUUUCACAUAACAUACAAGUAAUUGCAAAAGAACAAUUAGUUCAAAUAGUGAGUAUCCAAUUUCCUUUACCUCUAUUUUGGAUAAAAUAAACAGAAUAUAAAAAACAAAUAAAAUCAAAAUAAAAUAGAUUAGAAAAA
rnacentral:lncRNA from 1 species